UUACUCCUCCCAUCACCACCCCAACCACCCAGCUGCGAGCUCCUUCAUUGCGCCACCGCCGGCCAUGCAUGGCUACCUCCCCUCCCCACCACCUUCCCCUGUCCUCUCGCGUCACAUGGCCAGUCCAGUGCACAGCUGACCAUCCAUUCAAUGCUACGCAGCUUUCCAGCAGCUAUAUAACACGCCGGCCGGCUGCAGACAUUGGAGACCCAAGCUUCUUCUUCAGUAAGCUUGUAGCCAGCCAGCCAGCCAUGGGGAGGGGGAACGGAGUGAUGGGGAGCAAAGCUGUGGCGCUCGCGCUGCUGCUCUGCCUGAGCAGCGCGGCGGUGGGCGCGUGGGCGAGGCCCGUCGCGAACAAGGGGAAGCACGCCGCAGACGAGAAGUUCCUGUUGCUGAAGAAGCACUUCGGCAAGGGACUUGGAGGUGGCCUUGGGAAGGGUGGUGGGCUCGGUGGAGGUGGCGGUGGCGGCUACGGUGGUGGAGGAGGGCUCGGUGGCGGUGGCGGCUACGGUGGUGGAGGAGGGCUCGGUGGCGGUGGCGGCUACGGUGGUGGUGGAGGACUAGGUGGUGGCGCUGGCCAUGGUGUCGGUGGAGGUCUUGGUGGUGGGUUUGGCAAAGGCGGCCUUGGCGGUGGUUUUGGUAAANNNNNNNNNNNNNNNNNNNNNNNNNNNNNNNNNNNNNNNNNNNNNNNNNNNNNNNNNNNNNNNNNNNNNNNNNNNNNNNNNNNNNNNNNNNNNNNNNNNNNNNNNNNNNNNNNNNNNNNNNNNNNNNNNNNNNNNNNNNNNNNNNNNNNNNNNNNNNNNNNNNNNNNNNNNNNNNNNNNNNNNNNNNNNNNNNNNNNNNNNNNNNNNNNNNNNNNNNNNNNNNNNNNNNNNNNNNNNNNNNNNNNNNNNNNNNNNNNNNNNNNNNNNNNNNNNNNNNNNNNNNNNNNNNNNNNNNNNNNNNNNNNNNNNNNNNNNNNNNNNNNNNNNNNNNNNNNNNNNNNNNNNNNNNNNNNNNNNNNNNNNNNNNNNNNNNNNNNNNNNNNNNNNNNNNNNNNNNNNNNNNNNNNNNNNNNNNNNNNNNNNNNNNNNNNNNNNNNNNNNNNNNNNNNNNNNNNNNNNNNNNNNNNNNNNNNNNNNNNNNNUAGGCCACGGCAUCGGCGGUGGAUUCGGUAAAGGCGGAGGUCUUGGCGGCGGCAUCGGCAACGGUGGAGGACUCGGUGGUGGUGCCGGUGGCGGGUAUGGCAAUGGUGGUGGUCUUGGAAAUGGAGGCGGGCUCGGAGGCGGCAUCGGCCAUGGACUCGGUGGUGGCAUUGGAAAGGGUGGGGGUCUCGGUGGCGGCUUUGGCAAAGGUGGUGGACUAGGGGGCGGCUUUGGCGGUGGAGACGGCGGAGGCGGCGGUUUUGGCGGAGGCUUUGGCAAGGGAGGCGGAUUCGGUUUCGGGAUCGGCAAAGGUGGCGGUGGCGGGAUCGGCGGCGGCCACUGAUGUUGCAGUAUGUACGUUUGGCUCAGCUCUGUUCUGCUGAGGGCCGUUGGUCGUCAUAGUAUUCUGUCGAUGUGAGCAGUACGUGUGAUGAAACAUAUUUUUCCCUUGUAGAAUCUCACCACUAGUAUUUUCUUGUGUCUCCUGUUCUCUCAGGGAGACGUAUUCUCGCGCAUGUACGUUGGUGAUGGAACUGAUGGUAAUAUAUGAGCAUCUUGUAUGUCUUGGUCCAUGCCAGUGUAUGUUCCAGUGAUUUUGAAAUAUAAAUUUGGUACAAGUAAAUAAAACUUCAGAAGCUACCUGCAAGUGUUCAAAGUUCAGGAUGUUCAGAACAGAGCAAGCAUAGUAAGAAGGAACGACAUGCAAUGCAAAAGCUUACGGCGGCUGCUCAACCGGCUGACGGCCUAAAAUCUCUACUCAGUGUCCGGACUCCAGAACUCCAGAUUGUGUGUAGUUUGCGCCUGAGAGUGCUCAACAUGUAAACAGUGUUUAAUCACUGUAAACCAAACUUGGGCACGUGUUCUUCGGUAUAAAGUGCAGUGCGAGGGUGGAUGGGAGGCGAAGCUAUGGAAAAUCUCAAAAGUACCUUUCUACAUCUGAGCUCAUAUGUUCCUGGUGUGAACAGUAAAAUUAAUAAAAUAAAAUAAUAUUUCAAAAAUUUCUGAAUUUUUUGUGGCAUACUUUCAGAAAUGUUUGUUGUGCAUACAAUAUUUCAUCAUGAAAUCACAUUGGUCGAAGCCGUUGCGAAAAAAACAAAAUCAAAGCUCCAAAAUGUGUUUGUAAGUAACAUUUUUAAAGCGUCGAUUUUAUUUUUUUUACCACGCCUUCCAUCAAUGUCAUUUCAUGAUGAAAGUUUGAAUGCACAACAAACAUUUUUUAAAGUAUGCCACAAAGAAAUUGAAUUGUUUUUGAAAUAUAUUUUUAUUUUUUUAUCUUACUAUUCACACCAGGAGCAUGUGAAUUUACUAGUACAUCGUUCAGACUAUUUCUUUCCGUUCUUAUUUCUUUUCUGUCGUAGUGCAGCAUGUAUCUUGUACCAAUCAAUUUACUAGAUCCAUCCUCCAGUGCUCUAGUGCCCCCUCGUUUGGCUGAUAAUCCGGUACAGGUCUUGUCAAUGCUGACAUAACGUGUAGUACUCUCUUCAAUCCUUUUUAGUCUGCAUAUAAGUUUUGUCCGAAGUCAAAGUAUCUCUACUUUGACCAAAUUUAUAGGAAAAAAUAUCAACAUUGACAUUGCUUAAUCAAUAUUUUUAGAUUCAUUAUGAAAUGUAGUUGGAUGGUAUAUAUAUAUUUGGUAUUGUAGAUGUUGAUAUUUUUUAAUAUAAAUUUAGUCAAACUUUGCAAUGUUUGACUUGACAGAAAUCUAAUACGCGGAAUAAAAAGGACCGGAGGGAGUAGCUGUUUCGGGUUGUUGACUAGCGGGUCGAGUACCUGUUUCCAUAGCUGAGUGAGUCUCAGAGCGGAACAUCUGGGCGUUACGAGAGUCCCAGAGCUUCCAAAGGAUGGCGAGGGCGGCCGUNNNNNNNNNNNNNNNNNNNNNNNNNNNNNNNNNNNNNNNNNNNNNNNNNNNNNNNNNNNNNNNNNNNNNNNNNNNNNNNNNNNNNNNNNNNNNNNNNNNNNNNNNNNNNNNNNNNNNNNNNNNNNNNNNNNNNNNNNNNNNNNNNNNNNNNNNNNNNNNNNNNNNNNNNNNNNNNNNNNNNNNNNNNNNNNNNNNNNNNNNNNNNNNNNNNNNNNNNNNNNNNNNNNNNNNNNNNNNNNNNNNNNNNNNNNNNNNNNNNNNNNNNNNNNNNNNNNNNNNNNNNNNNNNNNNNNNNNNNNNNNNNNNNNNNNNNNNNNNNNNNNNNNNGCAUGUGAAGUCCAAGGAGAUGCCACACCUGGACCGCCCGAGGGCGGGAGAGGGCAAGGUGGGACGUGUCCUCGAGGUUAUGGGCACACCUCGGGCAAAGAGAGUCGGGGACAAUGGUCUUGCGGUGCAGAUUCGCCUUGAUGUUUAGCCCAUCCCUGAAAAGCAGCCAAGCAAAUUUUUUUACCUUGAUGGUGGCCCUUGAGCUCCAAAUGCGGUCGACGUGAGGGUUGAACUUGUUGGCGGAGGAGAGCAGCUAGUAAGCGCACCGCGCAAAGAACGCGACACGUGGGUGAGGGACCUGUCGUCGGGGUGAACUGUGGGAGCAACAUCCUGCAACAAGGUUAAACAUAUCAGUCUUGCUAAGUCUCAGUCAUCUGAGACUUCGUUAUGUCUCAGUUGAUGCUAUAUUCCUUUGAUCUUGCAUUGAGAUUCAUAUAAAAUUUUCUUUUCGUUUUUUUCUUUUUUCUUCUUAUAUCUACACCUACUAAUAAAGCAAGGUUCAUUUCUAUGAUUUUUUCAUCUGUUAACCACCAAACGAUUUUUGUUCUAUCCAAGGUGUUACUAAACUUUUGUGCAUCCAUCUGCUAAAAAAAUAGUUUUGUCCAGAAUUUUGUACAUGGGUCGCGCACGCUGUAGCCCAGCAAAACCAGCCCAUUUUUUUCCUGCCCAUGCAUCUGAGAAACAUUAUUUACCGCAUGUGGCGGCAAAUAGUCAGAGUUUCGCAUAGGGCGCCAAAGAUUGGGCCGACCCAUUUUUGUUUUUUCUCUAUACUGUUUCUAUUUUUCUUUUCUCUUUAUUUUUUACUUUUUUCCUUUCCAAUUUUAUUUUUAUUUUCCCUUUUUUUAUAAAUUCAACUCUUCAUUUUUUUCAGAAUUCCAACUUUUGCUUAAAUUUUUGCUAAAAUCAGAAGAAUUUCAAAAUUUUGUUCCCAUUUUGAAAUAUGUUUGAAACUUUAAAUUGCUUCUUCUCGUUCCAAAUUCUUUUCAAAACUAAACAAAUGUUUGAAUUUUUCAAAAAAUGUUUAUGUUUUCCAAAAAAAUCGAUAUUUUCAAAAUAAAUUGUAUUUUAAAAAGUUAUACAAAUAUGAAAAUAUUCACGUUUAUUUAAGUAUUCAAAAAUUUCUAGUAAUGUUUGUGUUGAAAAAACGCUUUUCAAAAAAUUGUUUUCAAUGUUCAAAACAUGUUUCCAUUUCCAAAAUUGUUGACAAAUUCAAAAAAGUCGGUUUCUUAGAAAUUUGUUUUCAAUGUUAAUACAUGUUUCCAUUUCUAAAAUUAUUCACACAUUUAAAAUGUUCAAAAUUGUUUUCAAAAAAUGUUUGUGAAUUUCAAAAAAACCAUUUCAAGUUUGGUUCGUCUUUUUUCCAAAAGUUAAUGAAAUUUUCAAAAAAUGCUGACAUUUUUUGGGAAAAGAAUCAUCACUUUAUUUUUUUUAAAUUCAAAAAAAUUCAAAAAAUCAAAAAUGUUUUUGAACGUGACGCUACAUUAUGUUCUUAAACAUUCGCGUUGGCCAUUUAUUAGCAGGAGCUAUUUGUUCAAAUGGCUAGCAGUACGUGGUCGACUUUUUGAGGUUGUGAGUCUAAUCCUUCAACUCAUCCGUUGUUUUGGAUUUUUAUUCGUAUCUUACAAACACAUGUCGUUUUGGUAACUGCCAGUGGUCUAGCCCAAACGCGAACUAUUGUGCAUCCCACGUGUCAUUUGACGAUAGAAGAAAAUAUGUUGGUUGACUAUAAUUAAAAGAGAUUGUAAGCACAUGCUAAUAAAAAAGAUAUGCUGAUUUGGCUCUGAUUAAAAAAAUGUAGGCAAGUGACCGCUAAAAUAAUUAAUGAGAAGAAACCCUGGUAAAGCAGGGACUACCUUGGUUUGCGCUGAUUAUGGCAAUGAAAUAUGAUUCGCUGCAAUUAGUAAUCCAUCUGGUUACGCCAUCGCAGGAGAGAUUGGUCAAAGCAACUAUGCCCCCAAAGGUCCCCAUGCAGCCACAAAAUGAGGAGGCAACCACAACCUAGGCACGGAGGCCGACCCGAAGGGAAAAAUGGCACGGGUUGAGCGGUGGCCACCAUCCCGACCAACACCACCACUAUGAAGAUCUCGCGGGCCAAACAUGACACGUGAGAGCAACUUGGUUCGCUCAUCCUUUGUAUCUUAGGACAUAUCUUCUUACAGAGAACCAUCAUUCUAUGCAAAAUAUUAUUUAUGCUUUGCUCAAUAUGAAUCACCCUUAAUACAUCGAUCCCAAACAUUUUCAACUUCUUAUGGUGCAUUUGGAAAUCAAGAAAUGAUUGUCUUUUUGCUAGGAAAUGUACUUUCCCUCAUCAGGUACAUCUUGCUGCGCUAGCCAUGGCUGAAUGCAACACUGUCCAAGAGGCUCCUCCUGACAAUCCUAAUUCUGCUCUCCAUGCUCAUAUUAACAGAGACAACAGUUUGGUGCUACAAUAGGGCUGCACCAUUAGGUCUGAUCUUCUAAUCUCAGGAGCCAAAAAAUUCUCUGAUGCUUUUUCCAAAUGUUCAAAAAUUCCAGGUUUAUCAAAUGGAGACGUAGCUAUGGGCAUUGGAGUUUUUCUCAAUUAGAAGUUUUUGCAGGACAAUAGAAUUAUCCAAGUUCAGAUUCAAGCAUCCGGCGCCACUAACUUCGUCACUUGUACAAGCAGAAGCACAAGCUCUUCUUCUUGCUACCAAAGCAGCGCAGAUCUUACAAGUCGAGCAGGCGACGUUUCUCACUGACAAUCUUUCUCUUGACAAGGCGGCGGCAAACAGGAAUGUAACAACAGAUUCCACUCCUUGGGUGAUUAGAGAAUCUCUUGCUGAUUUCUAUAGGACGACACAACAUCUACAACCAUAGGUAUUCCAUAUAUCUAGAGAAAUAAAUGGGAUUACGCGCAAUGUAGCUCAUCAGAUUCUUAGUCGCUCUUUGGAACCUGUCUAUAGUUGUUUCGGGUCAGCUCACAGGAACAGAAUAUGCCCUGUCAUUUCUACUCUUUCUACCUUAAAUUUACAGGGUUUUGUACUCCAUGUUGUACACUGUUUUUGAGUUGAAUGAAGUUGGCGUUGAGGGCUCCUUUCACCUUAAAAAAAAGCUAAUACGCGGUACUCAUUUGACUUGUCAAACCAUCGACAUCGCGAAUAAUGCUACCUCUAGUCCGUAUGGGUCCCGCCUACCAGUGGCCAUAUGAAAAAAUAAUGGGAAAUUUUUUAACACAUUACUUUUUUUGCGGGUGAAUUUUAACACAGUACUGACGGAACCUUCAUACAUACGCACAUAUAGUCACUUCAAUAAACACACACGCACACACUAUUCCUAUAAGCACCUCAAAGAGACUCAGCCGAUACAUUAUCUUGAGAUUGAUGAAGUUGUCAUAAACGUCUUCGUAGUCGACAUGAAUGUCUCCUCCCAAUGCAAAUGGCCAGAAGGCCCAAAAUAAAUCUAGGAAAUGCGAGCACUAAUGUCAAGUCUAAAAUCUGAACUUUAGUGGGCUGGGAUACUACUUCCCACCUAACUAUUAUUCAAGCACAUGUUGGUUCGCAUGAAAUACAGUUUUACACCGGUGAGGAAAGACAUAUUACAUAUACUUCCAACACUAACUAUUACUGGUAGAAUGCCGGUGCAUUGCUAUGGGCUACAAUGCAUAUACUUUAGGAAGCAUCGAUACUCUGAAUUCCUAAUCUAAUUAUACCCCUCAAUCUAGUAUGUUACCCGUUACACCUACAACUUUUUUUAAAUGUACUCUAUUGUUAUUUUGGUUGUUGGUAUAUCAUGAAAAAAAUUGAGCUACAAAAUAAAAUUCACUAAUUAGACAUGCAUGACCUUGGUAUCAAGAAUGAUUGCUUAAAUAAUUUUUGGAAUGUGUGCUGACACACAUAUCCAUUUAGAAAAGAACAAUUUUUAUAUUAACAAAAACCCGAGAGUUUGUACAAUUCGCGGAUGUAUGCGGUUAACCUGUAAUUGUGAAAGAAAAAAAGGUCUAUAGGAAGCUCGCUUUGUGCGCUUUGGUGGUGGCAGCUGGGUUGAUCCAUCUAUGCUCGUCCGGCCAUUCGCUACAGCACUCAUCACAUGAUAUAAAAUAAUGCAUGGAUAGGAAGAUGAUGGUAUGAGAGACAUUGAUCAUGUGAAGACUCUUCCUGCAAUUGCCUUUCGGCCGGACCGACCCGGAGGCGCGCUCCUUGGGCACCUCCUCUGAGGAUGCACGGCGGUGACCGGGUCAACGUGAGGCACAUCGUUGUCUCAGAGGAUGUCACCUCGGCAGUGUGGUAGGAAGCGGAUCAUCGUUGAGGGGGAAGGAUUCAGGAGGGGGACGAUUUUUUGUUUGUUUGUUUUUUUGUGCGAGGCAAGGGAGGUGGGUUUUCUUGUGCAUAUGAGGAGGUGGCGACGGAUGGAUUUUUUCGUAGGGGGAAGCAAGGGGAGUUCCCAUUUAAUUAUCCGCAUCCCUAAUUAAGUGUCUGACUAAUUAAUCAAUUGCAUUAAUGGCUCGAUUCUAAACUUGGUUUGCAUUAAUCCCUACUUAAAUAGACUUAAUUAAUCUCACAUGUAAUUAAUUAUCUGGCUCAUUAAUUGCUUUAUGACUUCAUUCCCAAAGUGAUUUGGUGAUUGGUUUCCACAUUAUUCUUUUGUAUUUUUGUUUUCUUUUUGCUUGAGGCAAAGGGAGUGAGUUUUCUUGUGCGUGUGGAGAGGUGGGAGCGGAUGGGUUUUUUCGUAAGGGGGUUUAGGGUUUAAUAGUAAUGAUAAAUUUGAAAAAAGUUUCUACUAUUAAUUAUCUCCAUCCCUAAUUAUGUGUUUGACUAAUUAAUUAAUUACAUUAGUGGCUUGAUUUCAUACAUAAUCUAGAGGGAAAAAAAUCAUACUUAAACGGACAUAAUUAAUUGGAUUCAUAAUUAAUUGCAUUAAUGACUUGAUUUUGAAAUUGAUUUGGUGCUUGGGUAUUGACUUGUGAUAUCUUUCAUAAUAAGCGUGAUCCAGCCAUUUAAGGCUCGGUAAUACAUUCCAUAAUUAAUGUGAUACUCAUGUCCGAAGAACAAUACUCUCUGUAAAUAACAUGUAUCAAGAAUGUUCGCUUAGAUAAUUUUUGGAACGUCUACUCACACAAAUAUCCAUUUAAAAAAAAGAACAAUAUUUGUAAUCAUAAAAAUCUGAGAGUUUGUACAAUUUUGUGAAUGUAUGCGGUUAACAUGUACUCCCUCCGUUCCGAAUUACUUGUCUUAGAUUUGUCUAGAUACAGAUGUAUCUAGACUCAUUUUAGUGCUAGAUACCUCUGUAUCUAGACAAAUCUGAGACAAGUAAUUCGGAACGGAGGGAGUAAUUGUGAAAAAAAGGGUUAUAGGAAGCUCGUUUUGUGCUCUUAGGAUGGUGGCAGCUGGGUUGAUUCAUCUAUGCUCGUCCGGCUGUCCGCUGCAGCACUCGUCCCAUGAUGUAAACAAUGCAUGAAUAGGAAGAUGAUGGAACGAGGGACAUCGUGUCUGCACGCGAACACGUCACCGUGUACCCUCGAUGCCGAGGAUGAUGCACCGCAGCUCACGUUGAAGGAGACCUGCCGGAAGUGCGGUACGCAAGACAAUACGGUGGACGCUUUUCAGGACCCGAAACCCACACGCCCGGGAGGGACCCCAAUAGAGGGCGUAGCGGCUAUGGGCUGCCCUAAGUCGACCAGAUCGCCCCUAGGGCCUUGAGGUUCGCCACCCUACAAUGAAGAAGAACGAACAAAUAACGAGGAAGAAAAAGAACAAGAGAUAAGAAAAGUAAAGGUAAAAGAUGUAGAUAGAUUUGUUCGAUUGUAUGUUGUUUUUUAAUCGGCCGUCAUCUUUUGUCUAUACUAGAACAAUUCCCGUGCGUUACAACGGGAUAUAAAUAUUCUAAUACGUUAACUUGUGAUUUACAUGUCAAUAAUAAUGCGAUUGUAUAAAUAAAUGUUCAUCAAGUCUGACCGUGAAUUACCUUAUAUCUCUACUACUUAAAAAGAACGCAAGGUUCCCAUUUCACCUUUUUUCCCACCACUCAUUCGUCCAACCUUUCAUGUAUAUGAUAAUCAAUCAUCCUAAUUUACUUACCUUCUGAAUCGAUUCCACUUUAAUUUACUUACCAAACUUCUAAUCAAAAUAUCUCUACUACUUAAAAAGAACGCAAGGUUCCCAUUUCACCUUUUUUUCACCACUUCUUCGUCCAACCUUCCAUGUAUAUGAUAAUCAAUCACCUUCAUUUACUUACCUUCUGAAUCAAUUUCACUUUAAUUUACUUACCAAACUUCUAAUCAAAAUAUCUGUACUACUUAAAAAGAACGCAAGGUUCCCAUUUCAGCUUUCUUUCCAUUAUCCCUUCGUCCAACCUCCCUUGUAUAUGAUAAUCAAUCACCUUAAUUUACUUACAUUCUUAAUCAAUUCCACUUAAUUUACUUACCAAACUUCUAUAUAAUCAAUCACCUUAAUUUACUUAGAGCAUCUCCAACAGGCGCGCUAAACAGGCGUCGCGCCGUAAAUAUAUCCACUUUAGCGCGCGCACAACCCGGCGGAUGGCUCCAGCGGGCGCGCAAUAACCGUGCGCGCGGCAGGAAGCGCUACCUCGCGCGGUGUAUUUGCGGCGCUCGCUUCCGCGCACGACACACUCGAGCGCUCACGCUGCGUUCUGUCUUCUCCCCCUCCAAAGCCCCGCGCACGCCGGCGCCGGCGACCCGCACCCAUGGACGCGCGCGCCGGCACCCCGCUCACCCCGUCCUAUAGCCGCGACCCCCCCCGCCGCCGCCACAAACCCUAGCCCGGGUGGCGUUGGCCUCGCCUCCGCCGGAGCUCCUCCGACCAUCGGCCUCGCGUGCGGCCUCUUUAUGCCGCCGCGGAUGACCUCAGCGGCGGGUGGCGUCGCGCCGACCCCGGCCUGAGCCGCCGCCCCCUCCUCCUCAAAGCUCCCCAAUGCGGCGCCGCCAAAGAAUGGCAAGACAUCGGCGAAGAAAAACAAGGCAGCGGACGACUCCGGCACCUUCAAGGCGAGGAGGAAGAAGCUUGCGGGGCGUGCGACGGGCGCGGCGGCUACCGAAGCACCGGCGAGCUCACUCGUUGAGCCGGCGGCCGGCGCACAAAACAUGUUCAACGAAAUGCCUCCAAGGUAAAAAAAUUCUAACUUUUCAUUUUUUCAUAUUGUUUGAAUGCAUUCUCACAUAUAGAUAGCUUAUUUGCAUUGUGCAAAAAAAAUUGUAGUCUCAAUGAUGAUGCAUACAUGUCAACGAUGGGUGUUGGCUCCAACAAUUCGCAUUGGUCUCAAACCAAUGACAUGCAUUUUGAAAACCAUGAGUUCGAGGUGGACGAGGAGAGUGAGGGCAUUGUCGAUGCACCGAAAGAAAGAGCAGGCAAUUACAGCAACGCCGAUGACAUGUUACUAUGCAAUACUUGGUUGCAAGUGUCGAGGGAUCCAUCCGUUGGAGGUGAUCAAAGUAGAGAUGCUUAUUGGCUUCGGAUGAAGGAACACUUUGGUUUUCGCAACGUGAGUAGAAUUGACCGCUCCGGCCGAUCACUUAGGUCCCGGUGGUCGACAAUCAACUCGGAUUGUCAAAGGUGGGCGGCUUAUCAAAAGGCGGUUGACAAGUUGAACCCAAGUGGCACAAAUGAGGAUGAUAGAGUAAGUGGCAUUUCAUACAUGUUCAUCAUACUUGUUGUUGGUGCUAACUUGCUUUGUUUUCAUGUAGUACAACAUUGCGCAAAACUUGUUCAAAGAAGAGGAGAGGAAAACCAAGAAGGGGAAGAUCAAGAAAGGAAGGAUAUUUACUUUGCCUCAUUGCUAUGAAGUGUUGAAGGAUGAUGAGAAAUGGAAGAAGCGUGAAGAUUUGGAUGAUUUGCAUUUGAGCAACAAACGAAAGCGAAUAAUUAAGUUGGAUGAUGAUGAUGAUGAGGAGGAGGAUGAUGCAUCAAGUGAUGACGGCAAGAGAAGCCCCACACCCAACUCGGUUUCAUACUGGAAGCCAAAGCGACCGGAUGGGUGCAAGAAAGACAAAACCGGAAAGAAGAAGAGGAAAGGAGAUGAUGAGCUCAAAAAUGCUAUGGAAGCAAUUGUGAAGGCAAGAAAAGAAGCCAACGAGGUGAGGAAAAUGGCAAGGAACCAAGAUGCUGCGGCCGAGGAGAGGAGGUUGGCGGCCGAGGAGAGGAGGGUGGCGGCCGAGGAGAGAAAGGUGGCUUUGGAGGAGAGGAAGGUGAGCAAUGAGGAGCGUACUAGAUUGUUGGAAUGGGAGAAGCACUUGUUCUUCUUGGACACAUCUAACCUCAAUGUGACACAAAAGGAGUAUGUCAAUCUAGCCCGUGAAGAAGUCUUGAUCCAAAAAAGAGCCAUGGUUCGUGCAAUGGGUGGCGGUGGCCUCGGCGCCAUGGGUGGCGGUGGCAUCGGCGCCAUGGGUGGCGGUGGCCUCGACGCCAUGGGUGGCGGUGGCCUCAGCGCCAUCUGUGGCAUGGGUGGCUUGGGUGGCUUUGGAGCACCCCCCGACGCUAUGGCCACCAUGGAAGGCAUGAGUUUUGCUUCUCUCAUGGGAGGCAUGGGUGCACCUCCGGCCUCCAUGGGCGGAAUGUCUUUCGAUGUUCCUCCUCGCACACUUUCUCAUGAAGAUGCCGUUGAAGAUCUUGCCAACACCGUCGGAGCUUCACGUGAUGCAGUGCGCAAUGAAGAGAGGGAGGAAGAUUCAUCUUUGGAGGCGGAAGAAUCGUCUUCUGAAGAUGAGGACAAGGACAAAGACGAGGAUGAGGAAUGAUGUGUCUUUCAUUUGUGUAUUGAACUUGAUUUGAAUUUUGAACUUGGUUGGAUGAACUUGUGGGUAUGAUUUUAAACUUGUGGGCAUGAACUUUUCUUCAUCAACUUGUUUAUGUGAAAUUUUAGUGUUGAAAAUGUUCAUCAUUUUGUGUUGAAAAUGCCAUAUGCAAUGCACCCGCGAGUGUCGCGCACUGCAUUUUUGCACGCUGCUGGAGCGGCGCGCGUGCGCUGCAUUUUAGCGCGGCUGCUGGAGCCAGCGCUGCGCGCCGCGCCAAACCAGACGAUGCGCGCGCGGCAAAUCUAUUUUUUGUGUGCGACGCGUCCGGCGCCUGUUGGAGAUGCUCUUACAUUCUUAAUCAAUUCCACUUUAAUUACUUACCAAACUUCUAAUGUAAGUAAAUUAAGGUGAUUGAUUAUCAUAUACAAGGAAGGUUGGACGAAGGGAUGAUGGAAACAAAACUUAAAUGGGAACCUUGCGUUCUUUUUAAGUAGUAGAGAUAUUUUGAUUAGAAGGUUGGUAAGUAAAUUAAAGUGGAAUUGAUUCAGAAGGUAAGUAAAUUAAUGUGGUUGAUUAUCAUAUACAUGGAAGGUUGGACGAAGGAGUGGUGAAAAAAAGAUGAAAUGGGAACCUUGUUGGGGAACGUUGCAGAAAACAAAAAUUUUCCUACGGUUUCACCAAGAUCCAUCUAGGAGUUCAUCUAGCAACGAGUAAUCGGAUUGCAUCUACAUACCUUUGUAGAUCACGCGCGGAAGCGUUCAAAGAACGGGGAUGAGGAAGUCGUACACAACGUGAUCCAAAUCACCGGAGAUCCUAGCGCCGAACGGACGGCACCUCCGUGUUCAACACACGUAUGGUCAGUGUAACGUCUCCUUCUUCUUGAUCUAGCAAGGGGGAAGGAGAGGUUGAGGAAGAUGGCUCUAGCAGCAGCACGACGGCGUGGUGGUGGUGGAGCUGAAGUACUCCGUCAAGGCUUCGCCAAGCACUAUGGAGGAUGAGGGGGUGUUGGAGAGGGAGAGGGAGGCACCAAAGGCAAAGGUGAGGUGCCCUCCCUCCCCCCACUAUAUAUAGGGGGCCUAGGGGGGGUGGCGGCCCUAGGAGAUGCAAUCUCCUAGGGGGGGGGGCGGCGGCCAAGGGGUGGGGGGCUUGCCCCCCAAGCAAGGGGGCGCCCCCUUUUAGGGUUUCCCCCAACCCUGGGCGCAUGGGCCCUUAGGGGAGUGGCACCCCAGCCCACUUUGGGCUGGGUCCCUUCCCACUUCAGACCAUGGGGCCCUCCGGGAUAGGUGGCCCCACCCGGUGGAUCCCCGGGACCCUUCCGGUGGUCCUGGUACAAUACCGGUGACCCCGAAACUUGUCCCGAUGGCCGAAAUAGCACUUCCUAUAUAUAAUUCUUUACCUCCGGACCAUUCCGGAACUCCUCGUGACGUCCGGGAUCUCAUCCGGGACUCCGAACAACAUUCGGGUUACUGCAUAUACAUAUCCCUACAACCCUAGCGUCACCGAACCUUAAGUGUGUAGACCCUACGGGUUCGGGAGACAUGUAGACAUGACCGAGACGGCUCUCCGGUCAAUAACCAACAGCGGGAUAUGGAUACACAUGUUGGCUCCCACAUGUUCCUCGAUGAUCUCAUCUGAUGAACCACAAUGUCGAGGAUUCAAGCAACCCCGUAUACAAUUCCCUUUGUCAAUCGGUAUGUUACUUGCCCGAGAUUCGAUCGUCGGUAUCCCAAUACCUGUUCAAUCUCGUUACCGGAAAGUCACUUUACUCGUACCGUAAUGCAUGAUCCCGUGACCAGACACUUGGUCACUUUGAGCUCAUAAUGAUGAUGCAUUACCGAGUGGGCCUAGUGAUACCUCUCCGUCAUACGGAGUGACAAAUCCCAGUCUUGAUCCGUGUCAACCCAACAGACACUUUCGGAGAUACCCGUAGUAUACCUUCAUAGUCACCCAGUUACGUUGUGACGUUUGGUACACCCAAAGCACUCCUACGGCAUCCGGGAGUUACACGAUCUCAUGGUCUAAGGAAAGGAUACUUGACAUUGGAAAAACUCUAGCAAACGAACUAUACGAUCUUGUGCUAUGUUUAGGAUUGGGUCUUGUCCAUCACAUCAUUCUCCUAAUGAUGUGAUCUCGUUAUCAAUGACAUCCAAUGUCCAUAGUCAGGAAACCAUGACUAUCUGUUGAUCAACGGGCUAGUCAACUAGAGGCUUACUAGGGACAUGUUGGUGUCUGUUAUUCACACAUGUAUUACGAUUUCCGGAUAACACAAUUAUAGCAUGAAUAAAGACAAUUAUCAUGAACAAGGAAAUAUAAUAAUAAUGCUUUUAUUAUUGCCUCUAGGGCAUAUUUCCAACAUUGCGUUUUUUAAGUAGUAGAUAUAUUUUGACUAGAAGUUUGGUAAGUAAAUUAAAGUGCAAUUGAUUCAGAAGGUAAGUAAAUUAAGGUGAUUGAUUAUCAUAUACAUGGAAGGUUGGACGAACGAGUGGUGGGAAAAAAGGCGAAAUGGGAACCUUGCGUUCUUUUUAAGUAGUAGAGAUAAGAGACGGAUGGACUUCCCGUACAAAAAAGGACUUGCCUAGCGGUCUAAAUCAUCAAAACCUAAUAAAACACGGACUAUUCAUGACCUCCGGCCCGGAUGUUCAGCUCAAGGCCCGGAUGAUCCGGCCUACCCCAGUUUUCUGACAGUAGAUCACUAAACCGACUCUAACUUUUGCAUAUGAACUUGGAUUAAGACGAUUUUUAUAUCAAAAUUAACCAUUUCGACGAGACACACAACUUUUCUGCUGAACACUUUUCGAUCUGAAGCCAUCUUGAGGAGGUUUCGGGCUGUUUUCUAAAGUCUGUAGCAGAAAAACUUGUCCGGACGUCCGGAACCUUGCCCGAAUGGCCUUUACUCGGAUCAUCCAGGUCUACAACUAGAUCAUCCGGCUUCAUCUUUUAGCUUCUGUUAUUUGCGUCAUUUAUUCCGCCUCUGGCCGAUUGAUCUGGACCCCGGCCCGGAUGAUCCGAUCAUGCAGUGCUGCAAUGCACAAUUUUGGUUGUAACUUUCACAUACGAUCUCGGAUGGGGACGGUUUUUAUAUCAAAAUCGUCCGUUUCGACGAGACAAAGAACUUUCAUUUGAAACAUUUUCCAUCCGAUGUCAUCUUGAUUUGGUUUUUUGCCAUGUAAAAAUAUGGUGUCAACACAUCGAUCAUGUGAAUACUCUUCCCGCAUUUGCCUCUCGAGUAGACCGGCCCUGAGACACACUCCUUGGGCAACUCCUCUGAGGACGCACGGCGGCGACCAGACCAACCCUAAGGCGUGUCAUUGUUUCAGAGGAUGUAAGCCCGACAUUGCGGUAGGCAAUGGAUCAUCGUUGAGUGGGAGGGGUUCAGGAAGAGGACAAUCUUUUUUGGUUGUUUUUUUGUUUUUACGCAAGGAAAGGAAGGUGGGUUUUGUUGUGUGUAUGUGGAGGUGGUGGCGGAUGGGUUUUCUCAUAGGGGGGAUCAAGGGGAGUUGAGUUGGACAUACCACAUAUAGUCCCCAACUCUCAUUUAAUAGUAGAGACGUGCAUGGCUAGAAAACUUCAUAUUAUUAAUUAUCUGGAUCCCUAAUUAAGUGUUUGACUAAUUAAUUAAUUGUAUUAAUGGCUGGAUGAUAACCCACAAGUAUAGGGGAUCGCAACAGUUUUUGAGGGUAGAGUAUUCAACCCAAAUUUAUUGAUUCGACACAAGGGGAGCCAAAGAAUAUUCUCAAGUAUUAGCAGCUGAGUUGUCAAUUCAACCACACCUGGAAACUUAAUAUCACCAGCAAGGUAUUUGGUAGCAAAGUAAUAUGAUACUAGUGGUAACGGUAGCAAAAGUAAUAUUUUUGGUUUUAUAGUGAUUGUAACAGUAGCAACAGAAAAGUAACUAAGCGAAGAACAAUAUAGGAAAAGCUCGUAGGCAUUGGAUCAGUGCUGGAUAAUUAUGUCGGAUGUGAUCAAUCAUGCAACAGUUAUAACAUAGGGUGACACAGAACUAGCUCCGGUUCAUCAAUGUAAUGUAGGCAUGUAUUCCGAAUAUAGUCAUACGUGCUUAUGGAAAAGAACUUGCAUGACAUCUUUUAUCCUACCCUCCCGUGGCAGCGGGGUCCUAUUGGAAACUAAGGGAUAUUAAGGCCUCCUUUUAAUAGAGUACCGGACCAAAGAUUUAACACAUAGUGAAUAUAUGAAAUCCUCAAACUACGGUCAUCACCGAUAAGUAUCCCGAUUAUUGUCACUUCGGGGUUAAUGGAUCAUAACACAUAAUAGGUGACUAUAGAGUUGCAAGAUAGGAUAAAGAACUCACAUAUAUUCUUGAAAACAUAAUAGGUUCAGAUCUGAAAUCAUGGCACUCGGGCCCAAGUGACAAGCAUUAAGCAUAGCAAAGUCAUAGCAACAUCAAUCUCAGAACAUAGUGGAUACUAGGGAUCAAACCCUAACAAAACUAACUCGAUUACAUGAUAAAUCUCAUCCAACCCAUCACUGUCCAGCAAGCCUACGAUGGAAUUACUCACGCACGGCGGUGAGCAUCAUGAAAUUGGUGAUGGAGGAAGGCUGAUGAUGACGAUGGCGAUGGAUUCUCCUCUCCGGAGCCCUGAAUGGACUCCAGAUCAGCCCUCCCGAGAGAGUUUAGGUCUUGGCGACGGCUCGGUAUCGUAAAACACGAUGAAUCCUUCUCUCUGAUUUUUUUCUCCCCGAAAGUGAAUAUAUGGAGUUGGAAUUGAGGUCGGUGGAGCGUCAGGGGGCCCACGAGGCAGGGGCACGCCCAGGGAAGGGGGGGGGUUGGCGCGCCCCCACCCUCGUGGAUAGAGUGUGGGCCCCCUGACGUGGAUCUUUUUGCUAGUAUUUUUAUAUAUUCAAAAAAUAAUCUCCGUUGAUUUUUAGGUCAUUCCGAGAACUUUUAUUUCUGCACAAAAAUAUACCAUGGCAAUUCUGCUGAAAACAACGUCAGUCCGGGUUAGUUCCAUUCAAAUCAUGCAAGUUAGAGUCCAAAACAAGGCCAAAAGUGUUUGGAAAAGUAGAUACGACGGAGACGUAUCAACUCCCCCAAGCUUAAACCUUUGCUUGUCCUCAAGCAAUUCAGUUGAUAAACUGAAAGUGAUAAAGAAAAACUUUUACAAACUCUGUUUGCUCUUGUUGUUGUAAAUAUGCAAAGCCAGCAUUCAAGUUUUCAGAAAAGAUUAUGAUCUAACCAUAUUCACAAUAACAUUUAGGUCUCAUGUUUACUCAUAUCAAUGGCAUAAUCAACUAGCGAGCAAUACUAAUAAAUCUCGGAUGACAACACUUUCUCAAAAUAAUCAUAUGAUAUAACAAGAUGGUAUCUCGCUAGCCCUUUUUGAGACCGCAAAACAUAAAUGCAGAGCACCUUUAAAGAUCAAGGACUGACUAGACAUUGUAAUUCAUGGUAAAAGAGAUCCAGUCAAGUCAUACUCAAUGUAAACUAACGAUAAUACAUGCAUAUGACAGCGGUGCUCUCCAACUGGUACUUUUUAAUAAGAGUAUGAUGACUCAACAUAAAAGUAAAUGGAUAGGCCCUUCGCAGAGGAAGCAGGGAUUUGUAGAGGUGCCAGAGCUCGAUUUUGAAAUGGAGAUGAAUAAUAUUUUGAGUGGUAUACUUUCAUUGUCAACAUAACAACUGAGAGAUCUCGAUAUCUUUCAUGCUACACACAUUAUAGGCGGUUCCCAAGCAGAAUGGUAAAGUUUAUACUCCCCCACCACCAACAAGCAUCAAUCCACGGCUUGCCCGAAACAACAGGUGCCUCCAACUAACAACAAUCCUGGGGGAGUUUUGUUUGCAAUUAUUUUGAUUUGAUUUGAGCAUGGGACUGGGCAUCCCAGUGACCAGCCAUUUUCUCGUGAGUGAGGAGCGGAGUCCACUCCUCUUGAGAAUAACCCGCCUAGCAUGGAAGAUACAUACAACCCUAGUUGAUACAUGAGCUAUUCGAGCAUACAAAACAGAAUGUUCAUUUGAAGGUUUAGAGUUUGGCAGAUACAAAUUUACUUGGAACGGCAGGUAGAUACCAUAUAUAGGAAGGUAUGGUGGACUCAUAUGGAAUAACUUUCGGGUUUAUGGAAUUGGAUGCACAAGCAGUAUUCCUGCUUAGUACAAGUGAAGGCUAGAAAGAGUAUGAGAAGCGACCAGCUAGAGAGCGACAACAGUCAUGAAUAUGCAUUAAAAUUAAUCAACACGGAAUGCAAGCAUGAGUAGGAUAUAGUUCACCAUGAAGAUAAAUAUCGUAGAGGCUAUGUUGAUUUUGUUUCAACUACAUGCGUGAACAUGUGCCAAGUCAAGCCACUAGAAUCGUUCAAAGGAGGAUACCACCCUAUCAUACCACAUCACAACCAUUUUAAUAGCAUGUCGGCACGCAAGGUAAACCAUUAUAAACUCCUAGCAAAUUAAGCAUGGCAUAAGCAAGUAUAAUCCCUAAUUGUCAUUGCAAACAUGUUUCAUUCAUAAUAAGUUGAAUCAGGAAUGAUGGACUAAUCAUAUUUACAAAAACAAGAGAGUUCGAGUUCAUACCAGCUUUUCUCAUCACAGUCAAUUCAUCAUAUAUCGUCAUUAUUGCCUUUCACUUGCACGACCGAACGGCAUGGAUAAUAAUAAUAAUGCACGUGCAUUGGACUAAGCUGGAAUCUACAAGCAUUCAAUUCAAGAGAGAAGACAAGGUAAUAUGGGCUCUUUGUUAGAUCAACAAUAAUGCAUAAGAGAGCCACUCAACAUUUUCAUCAUGGUCUUCUCCUCUUGACCCCCAAAGAAAAGAAAUAAAACAAAACUAUUUACACGGGAGAGCUCCCAACAAGCAAAAGAAGAACGAUAAAUCUUUUUGGGUUUUCUUUUUAAUUACUACUACUACAUGCAUGAAAAGUAAACUAACUAAAAGCUACAACUAAUUUUUUUGGUUUCUCUUAAGGUUUUUCAAACGCACAAGAAGAAAGCUUAAAAAGAAAAUAAACUAGCAUGGAUGAUACAAUGAAAAAGUAUGAGCAUUGACAAUUGGCAUGAGUGUAUGAACAUGAUUGUAAUGUCGGUGAGAGAUACGUACUCCCCCAAGCUUAGGCUUUUCGCCUAAGUUGUUCUAUGCCCAUGGAUGGCCUGGUGGAUAUCCGAAGUUGAAGCUGGGGUCGUACUGAGAUGCAUCAGCUACUGCCUAAAGAGCUGCAACUUGGAGGCGAGCUUCCUCUGCCCUCCUCUAUUACUCGUCCACCUCCUCCCUGGUUAUAACAUAUCUCCCUUUUGCCUGAAAGUCAAAGAAAGUAGGAGCAGGGAGAGCGACGUGAUAGGUGUGUCGUCUGUCAAAGAUUAGUCGGUACUGGAGGGAAUGAUCGUUCCUCUCAACAAACUGAUGAGAACCAUAGCAUUAUAAUCUAGAUAAGCAAGAGGCAACUCAAUAUCAUAUCCACGUAUGGGUACCUGAAGAAAAUUAGCUAAACGGGUUGCAUAAAUUCCACUGAACAAAUAUCCAUUAAUACUGUUAUUAUGCAACCUACGUGCAACAAUGGCCCCCAAGUUAUAUUGUGUAUCUCCUAAUACAACACUCUUGAGAACACUGAGAUCCGGAACACACAUAUGACAUGCCUCAUCCUUACCGUUAAUGCAUGUACCUAUAAAGAGAGCAAAAUAAUGUAUGGCAGGAAAAUGAAUGCUCCCUAUGGUAGCUUGCGUGAUUUCCAUAGAUUCCACCACAGUUAUACUAGCAAGAAAAUCUUUAUAUUCAGAUUUGCGAGGUUCACUAACAUUACCCACUGUGGGAGUUUACAAGUAGUAUUAAAAUAUUCUAAGUCCAUGGUAUAAGAUUUAUCAUAAAGAUCAAACAGGACAGUUUGAGAAUUGAAUGACGAUGUAAAUUUAAACCUUCUCACAAAUGAAUCAGUUAAAUAGAGAUACUGACGGCACUUAUCUGCCUCGAAGCUCUCAAGAUCAGCGUUACACACAUAUGCGUCAAAUUCUUCCUUGAUUCCUGCUUGAACCAUAAAAUCUUCGGACGACCAUUCACAAGGUCGCACUUGAGCAUCCCUUGGUAGUUCAUUGUCUGGCUCGCGUAUUGCGGGCCUGGGUCCUUGCUUCCUUGAGGAACCACCUUGGUACAUUUUCCUAAACAUAUUUCUUCCUCUGAAAAAUUUCUGAAAUUUUUAGUAACUUAAAAUAAAAGUGAACCAAACUCAACAAAAUUGAUAGUAACUACUCCUACAAGUGUCUAGAGGCCAUAUCAUGCAUAAAAACUACUUUUGACCACAUAAAUUUGACAUGCAAGCUCAAGAACAAGGUCACCUAAGCAUCAAAAAAUUGCAAUAAAUAAAGCACUAGAACAAAAACUAAUUGGACCAUUGGAGGAGUCACAUACCAAAGAACAAUCCCCCAAAGCAGUUUUGUGAAUGGAGCUUUGAGCAAGGAGAUCGAAAAUGGCAGCAAGAUGAGCAAUAACUCGGGUUUGAGCUGGCUAGUGACUUUUUCUGGAGCAAGACGAAGUGUGUGGGUGCAAGGACAAGUGGAGGGGACCCACGUGGGGUCCACGAGGUAGGGGGCGCGCCCAGGGGGUGGGCGCGCCCUCCACCCUUGUGGGCACGUGGCUACUCCCCCUGUUGUGUUCUCAGUGCCUAAAAUUCUUAAAUAUUCUGGAAAAAAAUCAUAUUUCAUUUUCAGGGCAUUUGGAGAACUUUUAUUUUCGGGGUAUUUUUUAUUGCAAGGAUAAUUCAGAAAACAGACAGAAAAAUACUAUUUUUUGCUUUAUUUAAGAUAAAUAACAGAAAGUAAAAGGAGGGUACAUAAGGUUGUGCUUUCUAAUUUUAUCCAUCUCAUGCUCAUCAAAAGGAAUCCACUAACAAGGUUGAUCAAGUCUUAUUAACAAACUCAUUCCGAAUCGCAUGAAACCGGAGAAAUUUCGGAUAACACUAGGUUACCUCAACGGGGAUAUGCAUAUCCCCAAUAAUAAGAAUAUCAUAUUUCUUCUUGAUAGUAGGAAGAGGAAAUUCAAAACCUCCAAUAGUAAUCGUUGACAUUUUUCCAAUAGAAUUUAUACUGUGGACUUGAGGUUGUUUCCUCGGAAAGUGUACCGUAUGCUCAUUACCGCUAACAUGAAAAGUGACAUUGCCUUUGUUGCAAUCAAUAACAGCCCCUGCAGUAUUCAAAAAGGGUCUACCAAGGAUAAUCGACAUACUAUCGUCCUCUGGAAUAUCAAGAAUAACAAAGUCCGUUAAAAUAGUAACGUUUGCAACCACAACAGGCACAUCCUCACAAAUACCGACAGGUAUAGCACUUGAUUUAUCAGCCAUUUGCAAAGAUAUUUCAGUAGGUGUCAACUUAUUCGAAUCAAGUCUAUGAUAUAAAGAGAGAGGCAUAACACUAACACCGGCUCCAAGAUCACAUAAAGCAGUUUUAACAUAGUUUCUUUUAAUGGAGCAUGGUAUAGUUGGUACUCCUGGAUCUCCAAGUUUCUUUGGUAUUCCACCCUUAAAAGUGUAAUUAGCAAGCAUGAUGGAAAUUUCAGCUUCCGGUAUCUUUCUUUUAUUUGCAACAAUAUCUUUCAUGUAUUUAGCAUAAAGGUUCAUUUUAAGCAUAUCAGUCAAACGCAUACGCAAAAAGAUAGGUCUAAUCAUUUUAGCAAAGCGCUCAAAAUCCUCAUCAUCCUUUUUCUUGGAUGGUUUAGGAGGAAAAGGCAUGGGUUUCUGAACCCAUGGUUCUCUUUCCUUACCGUGCUUCCUAGCAACAAAGUCUCUCUUAUCAUAACAUUGAUUCUUUGAUUGUGGGUUAUCAAGAUCAAUAACAUGUUCAAUCUCUACGUCAUUAUCGUUGCUAGGUUGAGCAUCAACAUGAACAUCAUCAUUAACAUUAUCACUAGGUUCAUCUUCAUUACUAGAUUGUGUUUUAGCAUCAGAAAUAGAAAUAUCAUUGGGAUUCUCAGGUGUGUCAACAACAGGUUCACUAGAAGCAUGCAGAGUCCUAUCAUUUUUCUUCUUCUUAGAAGAAGAAGAACUAGGUGCAUCGACAUUAGCUCUCUGAGAAUCUUGCUCAAUUCUCUUAGGGUGGCCCUCAGGAUACAAAGGUUCCUGAGUCAUUUUACCCCCUCUAGUCAUAACUCUAACAACAUUAUCAUUUUCUUAUUAUUUAAUUCAUUGAGCAAAUCAUUCUGAGCCUUAAGUACUUGUUCUACUUGAGUGGUAACCAUAGAAGCAUGUUUACUAAUAAGUUUAAGUUCACCUUUAACUCUAGAUAUAUAAUCACAGAAGUGUUCAAGCAUAUCAACAUUGUGUUUCAAUUGUCUACCAACAUAAGCAUUGAAGUUUUCUUGUUUAACAAUAAAAUUAUCAAACUCAUCUAAGCAUUGGCUAGCAAACUUAGUAAAUGGGAUUUCGCAUUUAUCGAAUCUAUAGAGAGAAUUUACCUUUACUACCUGUGUCGGGUUAUCAAGACCAUGUAUUUCUUCAAUAGGCAGUAAAUUCUUAACAUCUUCAGCUUUUAUACCUUUUUUCUUUCAUAGAUUUCGUUGCCUCUUGCAUAUCUUCAAGACUGAGAAAUAGAAUACCCCUUUUCUUCGGAGUUGGCUUAGGAGUUGGUUCAGGAAGUGUCCAAUUAUUUUCAUUAGUCAACAUAUUAUUCAAUAGAAAUUCAGCUUGAGCAACAGUUCUUUCGUUGAAAACACAACCAGCACAACUAUCCAGGUAGUCUCUGGAAGCAUCGGUUAGUCCAUUAUAAAAGAUAUCAAGUAUUUCAUUCUUCUUGAGAGGAUGAUCAGGCAAAGCAUUAAGUAAUUGGAGAAGCCUCCCCCAAGCUUGUGGGAGACUCUCUUCUUCAAUUUCCACAAAAUUAUAUAUUUCCCUUACAACAGCUUGUUUCUUAUGAGCGGGGAAAUAUUUAGCAGAGAAGUAAUAAAUCAUAUCCUGGGGACUACGCACACAACCAGGAUCAAGAGAAUUUAACCAUGUUUUAGCAUCACCCUUUAAUGAGAAAGGAAAUAACUUAAGGAUAAAGUAAUAUCCGGUUUUCUCAUCAUUAGUGAAUAGGGUGGCUAUAUCAUUUAAUUUAGUAAGAUGUGCCACAACAAUGUUAGAUUCAUAGCCAUAAAAAGGAUCAGAUUCAACCAGAGUAAUUAGCUUAGGAUCAACAGAGAAAUCUUAAUCCUUACCAGUAAUAAAGAUAGGUGAAGUAGCAAAAGUAGGGUCAUAUUUCAUUCUAGCAUUCAAAGACUUUUCCUUAAGCUUAGCUAGUAAUUUCUUAAGAUCAGAUCUAUCAUUGCAAGCUAAGAAGUCUCUAGCGGUUUCUUCAUCCAUAACAUAACCCUCAGGCACAGCAGGUAAUUCAUAUCUAGGGGGAGAAUCUUGAUCAUCACUUUCAUCAAUAUUAUCAGUUUCAAUAAUUUCAUUCUCUCUAGCCCUAGCAAGUUGUUCAUUAAGAAAUUCACCUAGUGGCACAGUAUAAUCAAGCAUAGAAGUAGUUUCAUCAUAAGUAUCAUGCAAAGCACAAGUGGCAUCAUCAAUAACGUGUGACAUAUCAGAAUGAAUAGCAGGUGUAGGUGUCACAAGUUUACUCAAAACAGAAGGUGAAUCAAGCGCAGAGCUAGAUGGCAGUUCCUUACCUCCCCUCGUAGUUGAGGGAAAAAUCUUGGUUAUUUGAUCUUUCAAGUUCUUGAUAGUGAUAAGCAGAUAUAAAUCCCAAGUGACUCAAAGAAUAGAGCUAUGCUCCCCGGCAAUGGCGCCAGAAAAUAGUCUUGAUAACCCACAAGUAUGGGGGAUCACAACAAUUUUCGAGGGUAGAGUAUUCAACCCAAAUUUAUUGACUCGACACAAGGGGAGCCAAAGAAUAUUAUCCAGUAUUAGCAGCUAAGUUGUCAAUUCAACCACACCUGGAAACUUAAUAUCUGCAACAAGGUAUUUAGUAGCAAAGUAAUAUGAUAGAGUGGUAACAGUAGCAAAAAUAAUAUUUUUGGUUUUAUAGUGAUUGUAAUAGUAGCAACAGAAAAGUAAAUAAGCGAAGAACAAUAUAGGAAAAGCUCGUAGGCACUGGAUCAGUGAGGGAUAAUUAUGCUGGAUGUGAUCAAUCAUGCAAUAGUUAUAACAUAGGGUGACACAGAACUAGCUCCCAUUCAUCAAUGUAAUGUAGGCAUGUAUUCCGAAUAUAGUCAUACAUGCUUAUGGAAAAGAACUUGCAUGCCAUCUUUUGUCCUACCCUCCCAUGGCAGCGGGGUCCUAUAUAUUGAAAACUAAGGGAUAUUACGGACUCCUUUUAAUAGAGUACCGGACCAAAGCAUUAACACAUAGUGAAUACAUGAACUCCUCAAACUACGGUCAUCAUCGGUAAGUAUCCCGAUUAUUGUCACUUCGGGGUUAACGGAUCAUAACACAUAAUAGGUGACUAUAGAAUUGCAAGAUACAUUCAGGAACUCACAUAUAUUAUUGAAAACAUAAUAGGUUCAGAUCUGAAAUCAUGGCACUCGGGCCCUAGUGACAAGCAUUAAGCAUAGCAAAUUCAUAGCAACAUCAAUCUCAGAACAUAGUGGAUACUAGGGAUCAAACCCUAACGAAACUAACUCGAUUACAUGAUAAAUCUCAUCCAACCCAUCACCGUCCAGCAAGCCUAUGAUGGAAUUACUCACGCACGGCGGUGAGCAUCAUGAAAUUGGUGAUGGAGGAAGGUAGAUGAUGACGAUGGUGACGAAUUCCCCUCUCCGGAGCCCCGAACGGACUCCAGAUCAUCCCUCCCGAGAGAGUUUAGGGCUUGGCGGCAGCUCCAUAUCGUAAAACGCGAUGAAUCCUUCUCUCUGAUUUUUUCUCCCCAAAAGUGAAUAUAUGGAGUUGGAGUUGAUGUCGAUGGAGCGUCAGGGGGCCCACGAGGCAGGGGCGCGCCCAGGGGGGUAGGCGCGCCCCCACCCUCGUGGACAGGGUGUGGGCCCCUGACGUGGAUUCUUUUGCCAGUAUUUUUUAUAUAUUCCAAAAAUAAUCUCCGUUGAUUUUCAUGUCAUUCCGGGAACUUUUAUUUCUGCACAAAAAUAACACCAUGGCAAUUCUACUGAAAACAACGUCAGUCCGGGUUAGUUCCAUUCAAAUCAUGCAAGUUAGAGUCCAAAACAAGGGCAAAAGUGUUUGGAAAAGUAGAUACGACGGAGACGUAUCACUGGAUUCUAAGCUUGAUUUGUCACAAAAACAUGUACUUAAACAAAAUUAAUUAAUUGCACACGUAAUGAACUAUCAGGCUAAUUAAUUGCAUUAUGACUUGAUUCCCAAACUGAUUUGGAGAUUGCUUUCCAAAUUAUUAUUUUCUUUUUUGGUUUUUUGCUUGAGGCAAGGAAGGUGGGUGUUUCUUAUGCAUGUGGGGAGGUGGGAGCGGAUGGAUUUUUUCAUAAGGGUAUCUAGGGUUUAAUAGUAACGAUAAAUACGAAAAAAGUUCCUACUAUUAAUUAUCUAUAUUCAUAAUGAUGUGUCUAGUUAAUUAAUUGAUUACAUUAAUUGCUUGAUUUCAUAUUUAAUUUGGUGCAAAAAAUCCAUACUUAAAUGGACUUAAUUAAUUGCAUGCAUAAUUAAUUGUAUUAAUGGCUUGAUUUUCAAAUUGAUUCGGUGCUUGGUUUCCAAAUUGUUUUGCACUAUUGACUCGUGAUACCUUUCAUAAUUAACAUGAUCCUCCCAUUUAAGGCUCGAUAAUACUUUCUAUAAGUAAUAUGAUACUCAUGUCCAAAUAACAAUACUCUCCAUAAUUAACGUGAUCCUUUCGUUCAACCCUCGAUGAUACUAUUUAUAAUUAUCGUCAUCCUCAUGUCUAAAUAAUAAUACUCUUCAUAAUUAACUUGAUCCUACUUUCAAACGCUCGAUAAUAUUUUUCAUAAUUAGCAUGAUCCUUGUGUAGAAAUAAUGAUACUCUUCAUAAUUAAUGUGAUCCUUAUGUCCAAAGAAUGAUACUCUUCAUAUUAGUAUGAUCCUUAUACUUUCCAAAUUAAAUGGGCAUAUUAAUUGUCUGCCUAAUUAAGACACAUAAUUAACUAUUUUGGCUAAUUAAUUGCAUGCAAGUGUGGGCAAAGCAUGAAUUGGACAAGAGAUAACUGAGGUGAUUUUUGGGCAUAAAUGGAUGCAUGCAAAACCGAACCAAACCAAACUAAACAACGUACAAAACUACCAUCAUUAACGUGGACUCCCCCCUUUAGGAGUAGAGAUUAGUAGAAUGUAUGUGUGUUUCUAUGGGCUACAAUGCUUAUACUUGAGGAAGCAUCUCUUAUCUGAACUCCUAAUCCAAUUAUGCCCCUCAAUCUAAUAUGUUAGUCAAUCCUCACAGGACAUGCCUCCAGAUGCCGGUUCCACCCAAGUGAGGGAGUCCUAGAUCAAGGGGUCCUCAGGCGUCCGGGCUAUAUGAUGUGGGCCGGACUAAUGGGCCGUUAAGAUACAAGACAGAAGACUUCCUCCCAUGACUGGAUGGGACUCUCCUUUACAUGGAAGGCAAGCUUGGCAUUCACAUAUGAAGAUUCCUUCCUCUGUAAACCAACUCUAUACAACCCUAGGUCACUCUGGUGUCUAUAUAAACCGGAGGGUUUAGUCCAUAGAGGCAAUCAUAAUCAUACAUGCUAGACGUCUAGGGUGUAGCCAUUACGAUCUCGAGGUAGAUCAACUCUUGUAAACCCCAUAUUCAUCCAAGAUAAUCAAGUAGGAAGUAGGGUAUUACCUCCAUCAAGAGGGCCCGAACCUGGGUAAACAUCGUGUCCCUGUCUCCUGUUACCUUCGAUCCUUAGACGCACAGUUCGGGACCCCCUACCCGAGAUCUGCCGGUUUUGACACCGACAUUGGUGCUUUCAUUGAGAAUUCCUAUGUGGCGUCGACAAUAGGACUGAUGGCUCGCCUUGUUAUCAAGGACAGCAUCACUUCCAGGGAAGCCCUGGCCUCAGGCCAAACCCUCCGGCUGGGAAGCUUUACCAUGGCCGCCCGUUCGGCCUUUAAGCCGAUGAUGACUUCCCAAGUCAUCAAAAAUCGUCUCCAUGUUGACCCUGAAUACUCCAAACGGAUGGAUCCGGCGGAUUUGUCGUCUUUAAAUGAACUCUUGGAUCGCAUUACCGCCCUGGGGGUCGCUACAGACUAUGAUCGGAUUGGGCUUAAACCCGAUCAGAGAGAAAUCAAAUCUCCGAUGGUCACCCAUCAGAUAGAGGUCGUAGAGGAGCAAAACAACAACUCUUCCCCUAUGCUGAAAACAAGCUACGUUCGGAUUUCCGAGCUCGGAGAGCCGGAUACCCGUCUGCGGGGUGAUACUUCCAGUCCUUCGAACUUAGAAUCGGGCGUUGGGACUAAAGAAUCAUUGGACACCCCGGAACCCCAACUAAUAAACUCGGAAGUUUUUCAAACACCGGACUCCACAUUGGGUCAGGGUUCGGAUUUAACGCCACCCACCCACCACAAGCAAUAUUCGCCAAGCAAUUCCGGUCCCCCGGAUAUACGUGAUCUCGUGUACGUACAACAGCAGCCUCAGGAAACAGUCCAUCACUUUUGGGCCAGAUUCCUCCUUGUCAAGGACAAGAUUAAACAUUGCCGCGACGAGGAUGCGAUUUCAGUAUUCUGCAAUAAUUGCAUGGACAAAGGAAUCCUCAACGCCCUCAACCGCCGUCGCGUACUACACUUCGCUGACUUGGCAACCAUAGUACAGAAGUAUUGCGAAAUGGAAAGUUCCUGGAAAACUUAGACAUCUCACUGGGAACCACCGGCCUGGGCGCCACCUCCCUGGCGGGCAAAAAGGAUGCACCCUCGCGGGGCACACGACCCUAUAGGCAAGAAAAUUAAACCCAUUAUGGGACGUGGAACCGUCCUUGAGGGAUGACAUGACAAGCCAUGCAAAAUACACACGACACCGGAUAACGAACCAACCCACAGCCUCAGAGCAUGUUGGAUAUUCCAGCAAGUGGCCAAGAGCGGCGAGGAUAUCCUCACCAAAAACACCUCAGAGCAGUACUCUCCGGAAUACAAUGACCUCAGAGUAUUGACGAUCUUCGAGACUUUCACUUCAAACAAUCGGUGCAAGAGGGCACUCCGUGACCUCGUCGAAGUCUGCCAAGUCACAACAAUAAAUCCCUGGAACGACACGGCCAUAACUUUUAAUGCUGAGGACGAACAAAAGUCUGGUCACCAGCCGCCUGGUGACCCACAAGUGUAGGGGAUCUAUCGUAGCCUUUUCGAUAUGUAAGAGUAUCGAACUCAACGAGGAGCAGAAGGAAAUGAUAAGCGGUUUUCAGCAAGGUAUUCUCUGCAAGCACUGAAAUUAUCGGUAACAGAUAGUUUUGUGAUAAGGUAAUUUGCAACGAGUAACAAGUAAUAAAAGUAAAUAAGGUGCAACAAGAUGGCACAAUCCUUUUUGUAGCAAAGGACAAGCCUGGAUAAACUCUUAUAUGAAGGAAAGUUCUCCCGAGGACACAUGUGAAUAUCGUCAAGCUAGUUUUCAUCACGUCCAUAUGAUUCGCGUUCGGUACUUUGAUAAUUUGAUAUGUGGGUGGACCGGUGCUUAGGUGCGGUGUUUACUUGGACAAACAUCCCACUUAUUAUUAACUCCUAUUGCAAGCAUCCGCAACUACAAAAGAAGUAUUAAGGUAAACCUAACCAUAGCAUGAAACAUAUGGAUCCAAAUCAGUCCCUUACGAAGCAACACAUAAACUAGGGUUUAAGCUUCUAUCACUCUAGAAACCCAUCAUCUACUUAUUACUUCCCAAUGCCUUCCUCUAGGCCCAAACAAUGGUGAAGUGUCAUGUAGUCGACGUUCACAUGACACCACUAGAGGAGAGACAACAUACAUCUCAUCAAAAUAUCGAACGAAUACCAAAUUCACAUGACUACUAAUAGCAAGACUUCUCCCAUGUCCUCAGGAACAAACACAACUACUCACAAAGCAUAUUCAUGUUCAUAAUCAGAGGGGUAUUAAUAUGCAUAAUGGAUCUGAACAUAUGAUCUUCCACCAAGUAAACCAGCUAGCAUCAACUACAAGGAGUAAUCAACACUACUAGCAACCCACAGGUACCAAUCUGAGGUUUGGAUACAAAGAUUGGAUACAAGAGAUGAACUAGGGUUCGAGAUGAGAUGGUGCUGGUGAAGAUGUUGAUGGAUAUUACCCCCUCCCGAUUAGAGGAUCAUUGGUGAUGACGAUGGUGAUGAUUUCCCCCUCCCGGAGGGAAGUUUCCCCGACAGAACAGCUCCGCCGGAGCCCUAGAUUGGUUCCGCCUCGCGGCAGCAGAGUUUCAUCCCAUAAGCUUGCUUAUGGCUUUUUCUCGGACGAAAGACCUCAUAUAACAGAAGAUGGGCAUCGGAGGGCCACCAAGGGGCCCACGAGGCAGGGGGCGCGCCCAGGGGGGUAGGGCGCCCCCCACCCUCGUGGCUGGUGGGUGGCCCCCCUCUGGUACUUCUUGCGCUCAAUAUUUUUUAUAUAUUCUGAAACAUGCUCCCAUGAAGUUUCAGGACUUUUGGAGAUGUGCAGAAUAGGUCUCUAAUAUUUUCUCCUUUUCCAGCCCAGAAUCCCAGCUGUCGGCAUUCUCCUUAUUCAUGUAAACCUUGUAAAAUAAGAGAGAAUAUGCAUAAGUUUUGUGACAUAAUGUGUAAUAACAGCCCAUUAUGCAAAUAAAUAUCGAUAUAAAAGCACGAUGCAAAAUGGACGUAUCACUGCCUUGGUUCUCAAUCCAAUUGUGGAUGGCUUUCAGCUCACUAAAGUGCUCAUGGACGGCGGCGGCGGGUUGAACCUCAUCUACGAGGACACGCCCAAUAAAAUGGAAAUGGAUAGGAGCCGCAUCAAACAAAGUAAUACGACCUUUCCAGGAAUCAUUCCCAGCUGGGAAGCAAGAUGCGCGGGAAAAAUUAAACUCGACGUGGUAUUCGGCACGCCGGAGAACUAUCGGUCCGAAGAGAUAACCUUCCAAGUGGAACAUUUCAAAAGUGGAUAUCACGCCCUGUUGGGGCGAGACGCAUUCACGCGCUUUCAAGCCAUACCUCACUACGGGUAUAUGAAGCUCAAGAUGCCCGGGCCAAACAGUAUUAUCACUCUCGCCAGUGAUCCAGACAUAGCGCUCCGCGCCGAAAACAAAACCGCAUCCCUGGCCCUCGAAGCACUAUCCGAGGCCCUAGUGGCCGAAGAAUUAACAGCACUAUGCUCCAUGGUGGAUAGGGACGGCGUAAUCCUUGAUAAGCGGCCCAAAUCCACCUCCUUCAAACCAGCAGACGAAAUAGUUAAAUUUCAAGUUCACUCGACGGACCCAAAGAACACAGCUUCCAUCGGAGCACAGUUGGACCCGACGGUUGACGCUGCAUUACGCGCGUUCCUGCGCGACAACUGGGACAUAUUCGCAUGGCACCCUUCUGAUAUGCCAGGAACCCCAUGCAGAUUGGCCAAACACAGCCUCAAUAUAUUAAAGGGAUAUAAGCCGGUCAAGCAAACACUGCGGCGCUUUUCCGAACCUAGACGACAAGCCAUGGGGGAGGAGCUAGCCAAGUUAAUUGAGGCCAGGUUCAUCAGAGAAAUAAAACACCCGAACUGGCUAGUGAUACGUCUCCAACGUAUCUAUAAUUUUUGAUUGUUCCAUGCUAUUAUAUUAUCUAUUUUGGAUGUUUAUGGGCUUUAUUAUGCACUUCUAUAUUAUUUUUGGGACUAACCUAUUAACCCAGAGCCUAGUGCCAGUUUUUGUUUUUUCCCUUGUUUCAGUGUUUCGCAGAAAAGGAAUAUCAAACGGAGUCCAAACGGAAUGAAACCUUCGGGAGCAUGAUUUUUGGAACGAACAUGAUCCAGGAGACUUGGAGUUGAAGUCAAGGAAGCUUCGAGGUGGCCACGAGGCAGGGAGGCACGCCUGCCCCCUGGGCGUGCCCCCACCCUCGUGGGGCCCUCAUGGCUCCCCUGACCGACUUCUUUCGCCUAUAUAUGUCCAUAUACCCUAGAAACAUCAAGGAUGAGAAUAGAUCGGGAGUUCCGCCGCCAGAAGCCUCUGUAGCCACCGAAAACCAAUCUAGACCCGUUCCGGCACCCUGCUGGAGGGGGGAAUCCCUCUCCGGUGGCCAUCUUCAUCAUCCCGGCGCUCUCCAUGACGAGGAGGGAGUAGUUCUCCCUCGGGGCUGAGGGUAUGUACCAGUAGAUAUGUGUUUGAUCUCUCUCUCUCUCGUGUUCUUGAGGUGGUAUGAUCUUGAUGUAUCACGAGCUUUGUUAUUAUAGUUGGAUCUUAUGAUGUUUCUCCCCCUCUACUCUAUUGUGAUGAAUUGAGUUUUCCCUUUGAAGUUAUCUUAUCGGAUUGAGUCUUUAAGGAUUUGAGAACACUUGAUGUAUGUCUUGCACGUGCUUAUCUGUGGUGACAAUGGGAUAUCACGUGAUCCACUUGAUCUAUGUUUUGGUGAUCAACUUGCGAGUUCCGUGACCUCGUGAACUUAUGCAUAGGGGUUGGCAACGUUUUCGUCUUGACUCUCCGGUAGAAACUUUGGGGCACUCUUUGAAGUUCUUUGUGUUGGUUGAAUAGAUGAAUCUGAGAUUGUGUGAUGCAUAUCAUAUAAUCAUACCCACGGAUACUUGAGGUGACAUUGGAGUAUCUAGGUGACAUUAGGGUUUUGGUUGAUUUGUGUCUUAAGGUGUUAUUCUAGUAUGAACUCUAGGGCUGUUUGUGACACUUAUAGGAAUAGCCCAACGGAUUGGUUGGAAAGAAUAACUCUGAGGUGGUUUCGUACCCUACCAUAAUCUCUUCGUUCGUUCUCCACUAUUAGUGACUUUGGAGUGACUCUUUGUUGCAUGUUGAGGGAUAGUUUUAUGAUCCAAUUAUGUUAGUAUUGUUGAGAGGACUUACACUAGUGAAAGUAUGAACCCUAGGCCUUGUUUCCUAGCAUUGCAAUACCGUUUACGCUCACUUUUAUCAUUCGUUACCUUGCUGUUUUUAUAAUUUCAGAUUACAAAUACCCAUAUCUACUAUCCAAAUACCACUUGUUUCAUCAUCUCUUCGCCGAACUAGUGCACCUAUACAAUUUACCAUUGUAUUGGGUGUGUUGGGGACACAAGAGAUUCUUUGUUAUUUGGUUGCAGGGUUUCUUGAGAGAGACCAUCUUCAUCCUAUGCCUCCUACGGAUUGAUAAACCUUAGGUCAUCCACUUGAGGGAAAUUUGCUACUAUCCUACAAACCUCUGCACUUGGAGGCCCAACAACAUCUACAAGAAGAAGGUUCUGUAGUAGACAUCAGCUAGCAAACCUGGUGAUGGUACCAAAGAAGGAUAAAUCCUGGUGCCUGUGCAUCGAUUUCAAAGACCUCAAAAGGCCUGCCCCAAGGAUCCCCCCCUCCCCUGCAUCGAUCAGAUCAUUGAUGCCACUUCAAGACAUGACUCACUGUGUUUCCUCGACGCAUACUCCGUGAAGGAAAUAUGCCCUAGAGGCAAUAAUAAAGUUGUUAUUUAUAUUUCCUUAUAUCAUGAUAAAUGUUUAUUAUUCAUGCUAGAAUUGUAUUAACCGGAAACUUAGUACAUGUGUGAAUACAUAGACAAACAGAGUGUCACUAGUUUUGCCUCUACUUGACUAGCUCGUUGAAUCAAUGAUGGUUAUGUUUCCUAACCAUAGACAUGAGUUGUCAUUUGAUUAAUGGGAUCACAUCAUUAGAGAAUGAUGUGAUUGACUUAACCCAUCCAUUAGCUUAGCACAAUGAUCGUUUAGUUUGUUGCUAUUGCUUUCUCCAUAACUAUACAUGUUCCUAUAACUAUGAGAUCAUGCAACUCCUGAAUACCGGAGGAACACUUUGUGUGCUACCAAAUGUCACAACGUAACUGGGUGAUUAUAAAGGUGCUCUACAGGUGUCUCCGAUGGUGUUUGUUGAGUUUGCAUGGAUCAAGAUUAGGAUUUGUCACUCCGAUUGUCGGAGAGGUAUCUCUGGGCCCUCUCGGUAAUGUACAUCACAAUAAGCCUUGCAAGCAAUGUAGCUAAUGAGUUAGUUACGAGAUGUAGCAUUACGGAACGAGUAAAGAUACUUGCCGGUAAUGAGAUUGAACUAGGUAUUGAGAUACCGACGAUCGAAUCUCUGGCAAGUAACAUACCGAUGACAAAGAGAACAACAUAUACCAUUAUGCAGUUUGACCGAUAAAGAUCUUCGUAGAAUAUGUAGGAGCCAACAUGAGCAUCCAGGUUCCGCUAUUGGUUAUUGACCAAAGACAUGUCUCGGUCAUGUCUACAUAGUUCUCGAACCCGUAGGGUCCACACGCUUAACAUUCGGUGACGAUCGAUAUUAUGAGUUUAUGUGUUUUGAUGUACCGAAGGUAGUUCGGAGUCCCGGAUUUGAUCACGGACAUGACGAGGAGUCUUGGAAUGGUCGAGACAUAAAGAUCGAUAUAUUGGAAGCCUAUAUUUGGACAUCGAAUAGUUCCAGUGGUUCGGGCAUUUUUCCGGAGUACCGGGAGGUUACCGGAACCCCCCGGGGAGUAUAUGGGCCUUAUUGGGCCUUAGUGGAAUAGAGGAGAGGGAAGGGAAAAGAGGGAGGCGUGCCCCCAAGCCCAAUGCAAAUUGGGAAGGGAGCCGCCCCCCUUUCCUUCCUCCCUCUCUCCUCCUUCCUUCCUCUCCUACUCCUACUUGGAAGGGGGGGGGGGGAUCCUACUCCCAAAGGGAGUAUGACUCCCCUAGGGCGCUCCAUAGAGAGGGCCGGCCCUCCCCCUCCUCCACUCCUUUAUAUACGGGGGAGGGGGGCACCCCAUAGACACAAGUUGAUCAUUGAUCUUUUAGCCGUGUGCGGUGCCCCCCUCCACCAUAAUCCACCUCGGUCAUAUCGUAGCGGUGCUUAGGCGAAGCCCUGUUCCGGUAGCAUCAUUAUCACCGUCAUCACGCCAUCAUGCUGACGAAGCUCUCCCUCGACACUCUGCUGGAUCAUGAGUUCAUGGGACGUCACCGAGCCGAAGGUGUGCAGAUCGCGGAGGUGUCGUACCUUCGGUACUAGGAUCGGUCGAUCAUGAAGACGUACGACUACAUCAACCACGUUGUCAUAACGCUUCUGUGUACGAUCUAUGAGGGUACAUAGACAACACUCUCCCCUCUCGUUGCUAUGCAUCACCAUGAUCUUGCGUGUGCGUAGGAAUUUUUUUGAAAUUACUGCGUUCCCCAACAGUGGCAUCCGAGCCAGGUUUAUGCGUAGAUGUUAUAUGCAUGAGUAGAACACAAAGGAGUUGUGGGCGUGGGUAUAUACAUAUUGCUUACCGUCACUAGUUGAUUCUUGAUUCAACGACAUUGUUGGAUGAAGCGGCCCAGUUUGACAUUACGCGUAUGCUUACGCGAGACUAGUUCUACCGACGUGCUUCACACACAGGUGGCUACUGGGUGUCUAUUUCUCCAGCUUUAGUUGAAUCAGAUUCAAUGAACAGGGUUCUUUCUGAAGAUCAAAAAGCAAUCACUAUACCGCGUUGUGGUUUUUGAUGCGUAGGUAAGAACGGUUCUUGCUCAGCUCGUAGCAGCCAUGUAAAACUUGCAACAACAAAGUAGAGGACUUCUAGCUUGUUUUUGCAGGGCAUGUUAUGAUGUGAUAUGGUCAAGACAUGAUGCUAUAUUUAUUGUAUGAGAUGAUCAUGUUUUGUAACACAGUUAUCGACAACUCGCAGGAGCCAUAUGGUUGUCGCUUUAUUGUAUGAAAUGCAAUCGCCAUGUAAUUGCUUUACUUUAUCACUAAGCGAUAGCGAAGUCAUAGACGCAAUAGUUGGCGAGACGACAAUGAUGCUUCGAUGGAGAUCAAGGUGUCUAGCCGGUGACGAUGGUGAUCAUGACAGUGCUUUGGAGAUGGAGAUCAAAGGCACAAGAUGAUGAUGGCCAUAUCAUAUCACUUAUAUUGAUUGCAUGUGAUGUUUAUCCUUUAUGCAUCUUAUUUUGCAUAGUUCAACGGUAGCAUUGUAAGAUGAUCUCUCACUAAAUUUCAAGGUAUAAAUAUUCUCCCUGAGUAUGCACCAUUGCUACAGUUCGUCGUGCUGAGACACCACGUGAUGAUCGGGUGUGAUAAGCUCUACGCUCACAUACAACGGGUGCAAGCCAGUUUUGCACACGCAGAAUACUCAAGUUAAACUUGAUGAGCCUAGCACAUGCAAAUAUGGCCUCUGAACACUGGUGACCGAAAGGUCGAGCAUGAAUCAUAUAGUAGAUAUGAUCAACAUAGUGAUGUUCACCAUUGAAAACUACUCCAUCUCACGUGAUGAUUGGACAUGGUUUAGUUGAUAUGGAUCACAUGAUCACUUAGAUGAUUAGAGAGAUGUCUAUCUAAGUGGGAGUUCUUAAGUAAUUUGAUUAAUUGAACUUUAAUUUAUCAUGAAUUUAGUACCUGAUAGUAUUUUUCAUGUCUAUGUUGUUGUAGAUAGAUGGACCGUGCUGUUGUUCUGUUUAAUUUUAACGCGUUCCUACAAAAAGCUAAGUUGAAAGAUGAUGGUGGCAACUAUACGGACUGGGUCCGUAACUUGAGGAUUAUUCUCAUUGCUGCAUAGAAGAAUUACGUCCUGGAAGCACCGCUAGGUGACAAACCCGCUGCAGGAGCAAUGCCAGAUGUUAUGAACACCUAGCAGAGCAAAGCUGAUGACUACUCGAUAGUUCAGUGUGCCAUACUUUACGGCUUAGAACUGGGACUUCAAUGAUGUUUUGAACAUCAUGGAGCAUAUGAGAUGUUACAGGAGUUGAAGUUAAUAUUUCAAGCAAAUGCCCGGAUUGAGAGAUAUGAAGUCUCCAAUAAGUUCUACAGCUACAAGAUGGAGGAGAAUAGUUCUGUCAAUGAACAUAUACUCAGAAUGUCUGGGUACCACAACCACUUGACUCGGCUAGGAGUUAAUCUUCCUGAUGAUAGUAUCAUUGACAGAGUUCUUCAAUCACUGCCACCAAGCUACAAGAGCUUCGUGAUGAACUAUAAUAUGCAAGGGAUGGAUAAGAUGAUUCCUGAGCUCUUCACAAUGCUAAAAGCUGCGGAGGUAGAAAUCAAGAAGGAGCAUCAAGUGUUGAUGGUCAACAAGACCACCAGUUUCAAGAAAAAAGGUAAAGGGAAGAAAGGGAACUUCAAGAAGAACAACAAGCCAGUUGCUGCUCAAGUGAAGAAACCCAAGUCUGGACCGAAGCCUGAGAUUGAGUGCUUCUAGUGCAAAGGGACUAGUCACUGGAAGCGGAACUGCCCCAAGUAUUUGGCGGAGAAGAAGGAUGGCAAAGUGAAAGGUAUAUCUGAUAUACAUUUUAUUGAUCUGUACCUUACUAAUGCUCGCAGUAGUGCCUGGGUAUUUGAUACUGGUUCAGUUGCUAACAUUUGCAACUAGAAACAGGGGCUACGGAUGAAGCGAAGAUUGGCUAAGGACGAGGUGACGAUGCGCGUGGGAAAUGGUUCCAAAGUCGGUGUGAUCGCCGUCGGCACGCUACCUCUACAUCUACCUUCGGGAUUAGUUUUAGACCUAAAUAAUUGUUAUUUGGUGCCAGCGUUGAGCAUGAACAUUAUAUCUGGAUCUUGUUUGAUGUGAGACGGUUAUUCAUUUAAAUACGAGAAUAAUGGUUGUUCUAUUUAUAUGAGUAAUAUCUUUUAUGGUCAUGCACCCUUGAUGAGUGGUCUAUUUUUACUAAAUCUUGAUAGUAGUGAUACACAUGUUCAUAGUAUUGAAGCCAAAAGAUGCCGAGUUGAUAAUGAUAGUGCAACUUAUUUGUGGCACUACCAUUUAGGUCAUAUUGGUGUAAAGCGCAUGAAGAAACUCCAUUCUGAUGGACUUCCGGAAUCACAUGAUUAUGAAUCACUUGGUACUUGCGAACCAUGCCUCAUGGGCAAGAUGACUAAAACUCCGUUCUCCGGAACAAUGGAGCGAGCAACAGAGUUAUUAGAAAUCAUACAUACUGAUGUAUGUGGUCCAAUGAACAUUGAAGCUCGCGGCGGAUAUCGUUAUUUUCUCACCUUCAUAGAUGAUUUGAGCAGAUAUGGGUAUAUCCACUUAAUGAAACAUAAGUCUGAAACAUUUGAAAAGUUCAAAGAAUUUCAGAGUGAAGUGGAAAAUCAUCGUAACAAGAAAAUCAAAUUUCUGCGAUCUGAUCAUGGAGGCGAAUAUUUGAGUUAUGAGUUUGGACUUCAUUUGAAACAAUGCGGAAUAGUUUCACAACUCACACCACCUGGAACACCACAGCGUAAUAGUGUGUCCGAACCUCGUAAUCAUACUUUACAAGAUAUGGUGCGAUCUAUGAUGUCUCUCACUAAUUUACCGCUAUCGUUUUGGGGUUAUGCUUUAGAGACAGCUGCAUUCACAUUAAAUAGGGCACCAUCUAAAUCCGUUGAGAUGACACCUUAUGAACUGUGGUUUGGCAAGAAACUCAAGUUGUCGUUUCUUAAAGUUUGGGGCUGCGAUGCUUAUGUGAAAAAGCUUCAACCCGAUAAGUUCGAACCCAAAUCGGAGAAAUGUGUCUUCAUAGGAUACCCAAAGGAGAUUGUUGGGUACACCUUCUAUCAUAGAUCUUAAGGCAAGACAUUCGUUGCUAAGAAUGGAUCCUUUCUGGAGAAGGAGUUUCUCUCAAAAGAAGUGGGUGGGAGGAAAGUAGAACUUGACGAGGUAAUUGUACCUUCUCCCUUAUUGGAGAGUAGUUCAUCAUUGAAAUCAGUUCCGGUGAUUCCUACACCAGUAAGUGAGGAAGCUAAUGAUGAUGAUCAUGAAACUUAUGAUCAAGUUACUACUGAACCUCAUAGGUCAAUCAGAGUAAGAUCCGCACCAGAGUGGUACGGUAAUCAUGUUCUGGAAGUCAUGUUACUUGACCAUGACGAACCUACGAACUAUGAGGAAGCGAUGAUGAGCCCAGAUUCUGCAAAAUGGCUUGAAGCCAUGAAAUCUGAGAUGGGAUCCAUGUAUGAGAACAAAGUAUGGACUUUGGUCGACUUGCCCGAUGAUCGGCAGGCCAUAGAGAAUAAAUGGAUCUUCAAGAAGAAGACCGACGCUGACGGUAAUGUUACUGUCUACAAAGCCUGACUUGUUGCGAAAGGUUUUUGACAAGUUCAAGGAGUUGACUACGAUGAGACCUUCUCACCCGUAGCGAUGCUUAAGUCCGUCCGAAUCAUGUUAGCAAUUGUCGCAUUUUAUGAUUAUGAAAUUUGGCAAAUGGAUGUCAAAACUGCAUUCUUAAUGGAUAUCUUAAAGAAGAGUUGUAUAUGAUGCAACCAGAAGGUUUUGUUGAUCCAAAAGGUGCUAACAAAGUGUGCAAGCUCCAGCGAUCCAUUUAUGGAUUGGUGCAAGCCUCUCUCCUCCUUCCCUCUCUCCUACUCCUACUCUUGGAAGGGUUGGAGUCCUACUCCUGGUGGGAGUAGGACUCCCCUUGGGGCGCGCCUAGGAGGGCCGGCCUCUCCCCCUCCUCCACUCCUUUAUAUAUGGGGAGGGGGGCACCCCAUAGACACACAAGUUGAUCAUUGAUCUUUUAGCCAUGUGCGGUGCCCCCCUCCACCAUAAUCCACCUCGGUUAUAUCGUAGCGGUGCUUAGGUGAAGCCCUGUUCUGGUAGCAUCAUCAUCACCGUCAUCACGCCGUCGUGCUGAUGAAACGCUCGCUCGAAGCUCUACUAGAUCGUGAGUUCGCGGGACGUCACCGAGCUAAACGUGUGCAGAUCAUGGAGGUGUCGUUCCUUCGGUGCUAGACCGGUCGAUCGUGAAGACGUACGACUACAUCAACUGCGUUGUCAUAACGCUUCCACUUACGGUCUACGAGGGUACAUAGACGAUACUCUUCCCUCUCGUUGCUAUGCAUCACCAUGAUCUUGCGUGUGCGUAGGAAUUUUUUGGAAUUACUGUGUUCCCCAACACUAAUAAUGGCAGUAAUUGCCCCAUGGACCGAACCCUUCUUGGCCUACCUUAAUAGGCGAGAGCUCCCCGAGGAUCAGAAUGAGGCUCGAUGCGUCGGUCGACAUUCGAAAGCCUACAAGCUUCAUGAAGGAGAGCUCUACAAGAAGAGCGCUACCGGAAUACUUCAAAGAUGUAUCUCCGAAGAAGAAGGACGACAACUCCUAGCUGAAAUCCAUGCUGGUCUUGGAGGUCACCACGCCGCGGCUAGGGCUCUUGUAAGCAAGGCCUUCCACACCGGUUUCUUCUGGCCAACGGCCCGAGCAGAUACACAUGACCUUGUCCAACGUUGUGUGGGAUGCCAGCUUUUCGCCAUUCAAAUCCAUAUGCCGCCUACCGCCUUAUAAACAAUCCCCAUUACUUGGCCUUUCACGGUCUGGGGGCUUGAUAUGGUCGGACCCCUUAAAGGGGGAAGCCAUAAGAAAAAUAUCUGCUGGUCAUGGUAGAUAAAUUCACUAAGUGGAUAGAGGCCAAACCAGUUAAAACGGCCGAAGCCGGACCCGUGAUAGACUUUAUAUCCGGUGUCGUACACCGUUAUGGUGUCCCACACAGCAUCAUCACCGAUAACGGCUCCAACUUUACAGCCGACGAAGUGAAAACAUGGUGUGCUAAACUGGGCAUCAAGCUCAAUUAUGCCUCUGUCUAUCACCCCCAAACAAAUGGUCAAGUCGUACGAGCCAAUGAUCUUAUCAUGAGCGGCAUUAAGCCUAGACUAGUACGGUCUUUAAAAGAGUCAGACAAACACUGGGUCGAGGAGCUCGACUCCGUACUCUGGGGCUGCGGACCACGCCCAAUCGCACUACCGGUUACACACCAUUCUUCAUGGUGUACGGCGUAGAGGCUAUUUUGCUCUGCGACAUCAUUCAUGACUCACCUCGAGUGCGCAUGUACCAAGAGAGUGAAGCCGAGCUUGAUCGGCAGGACAGUCUAGAUGCCCUGGAGGAGGAGCACGAUGUUGCAAAAGCCCGUUCCUCAUUCUAUCAACAAUAAGCUCACAUACCAAAGCAGAGAAGUGCGGUCCAAGACUUAUAAUGUCGGUGAACUCGUUCUACGCUUGCCAGAUAAGAAAAAGGGCAAACUCAAGCCCAAGUGGGAAGGUCCCUUCAUUAUAGAUGAAGUUCUCACUAGAGGUGCGUAUUGUCUGCGUGAUGCAUCGGAUAAUCGCUUAGAGCAGAACCCGUGGAAUGCCGCCAGACUCCAAAGAUUCUACUCCUAGAGCCGGAGUCAUUGUUCAUUUUAUUUUUCUCCUCUUUUCAGUUUCUCUCUCUUUAAAUUUUUUUCUUUAGCUUUAUAGCUCUUGUGCGGCUAGACCGCACACUUAUGAGGUACACAUCCUUAAAUGUAUAUACCCAUAAUACCUAGGGGCUUCUUUUAUAGAAGCUUAUUAUUAUUAUUCGAGCACCAAGCUCACCACAUAUGUGUCCUUUUAUCACAUAUACCUUUUCUUCGUCAUUAUAUGCACCUUUAUGACUUAAGUUUUUGCCAAGCUGGAUUGCCUGGCUCCUGUGUUUAUGCCCUACGUUCCCGUUUGUUCGGUUAGGGCAUAAAGGGAGCACCUCUGCGAUUGUUACAACCGGGUCAUACGGACUUGUACCUCAGACUGGGUGAAGCCGAAAACUAGCGUUCUUAAGGGAAUAAUCGGUCGGCGGACUAAAGACGUUUUACCUUUGUUGGACCACGAACCCCCAUAUAUUAUAUAUAUUGUGAUUUUUUUGAAUCACAGUUUAGGCAUGCACACUAAUGCAUGUUCUCCCAGGGAAAGGAACCCUUAACAGAACUAUUCUCUUUGGAAGAUGUUUCUUACAAUCAAUAAGUAAUAUAACAUAGCUAGCCAAAUACAACUUGUCUGUUCAAGCAACUAUGACCCCUACGUCUGGUUUCCACGCAUGCCUCGGUAUUUAUCACCGGUCUGGUAUUCGGAAACACUCUGCACCUUCGAGACCGGAGGUCGAAGCGAAAAUGUCAGCCAUGACAAUCGUUUUACAAUUCGGCUAGGGACAAAUUUGUCAAUUGGAGUACAUAUUCACUUGGACUCAAAAGCUUCUUCCUCUAUACCAUCUAACAGGCUGUCUAGCUCAAUCAUGUUGUGAAAACUUGGCGGCUAUCUUUACUUGGUCAUAUACCAAGCUCACUAGAAUCUCUUGUCCAUCUGACCCCCGAGGUCCGACCCGGGUCAUAUGAUUCGGGUCUAGUCCGGUGUACCGCGUUUUCACCAUGGCCCAGGCCUCUCGUGCGCCUUCCCGGCAAGCCGAUAUCUUCCAUAAUCUAAGGCGGCGCCGAGCUCCCUUGAAUAGCUUCACAAGCUCCUCCAUACUUUUUGGAGGGGAUGCGGAUGGCCAUAAAGCCUUGGCAACACUACGCAUCGCUUUCCGAGCUCUCUCGUGCACUUGUGACAGCUCUUGUAGCAGAUCGCCUUGAGCUCCGGACAUUUCCUCUUCGGGUCGGCCAGUCAGCAUACCUGCAGACACAAAUCUGUUAACUCAUUUUUUACCACACUACACGAAGAUAAGUUCAAAAUCAUACUGAAUAUGCCGCCCCGUAGCUUCCUGUUCUCUUUUACGGCGUCCACUAGCUGGGCUCGCACGUCUUUUAGCUCUUCGCCCAGCAGGGUGUUGGAAUCCUGCAGCUUGUUCUUAUCAUACCUGGUCCGUGUCAAUACACGCUCGCCAACGGCCAAUUGUUUUUUGGCCUGAUGUUUACCCGCCUGUGCGACCAUCACUUCCUCUUUCAGUUGAUCUAACGAUCCUGCCAUGGGAAAUACAAUAGUGUUAACAUUACUGGUGUAUAUGAUUAAUAUUUUUCUGGAUGGAGGAGAACAUUACCAGGUGGUGCCUCCUUGGAUUUCUCUAGUUCGGCGGUAGCAACAGCUAGCUGGGUCCGACACUUUUCCAGCUCAUGAGGCAACAUGUUGUUCUUCUCCAUGAGUGCAUGAUUAUACAAUAAUCCUUAAAUUGGUUGUUUCAACUUCUUCAAGUCUUGGGGGCUACUGGUGUAUGAUUACCAGUUCUGUACAAUGCAUGCUUACCCGCAUAUCUUUCAAAUGCUGGUCAGUGGCUCUGGCAAGCCAUCCCAAGCAGCUUGGAUGUACGCAUCAGCCGAGCUGAAGUCAUCAAACGCCUCUUUAGUAAAGCUGGGGUCAUGAAGAGUGGCCCUCCAUCGCCAAUGAUUCAUGGCGCUCUCUACUUUAGACUUCGUGACAGAUACAUCAUCCGAAUCCUCUGAAGGAGGACAAGCCGGCGUCACUCCCGUGUCAGCCCCCGCCCUAGAGGCAGGGUCUGGAACCUGAUUGGUGGAGGUGCGACCGACAGGAUCCCCGGACAUAGUCCGGCAAACACACUUCCUGAUAAAACACGGCAGACAAUGUCACAGUUCGAUGUGACUGCCAGGAGGCGUAUUCAAAGCCAUACCUCUUUGAUGAAGGCUCGGCCGAGUUGUCAUUUUCCUUCCUCUUCGAAGAUCAGCCCGAUGCAGGCGCCGCUCUCUUAUGAGACGCCUCUGGUGUAGCAUGGCGCACCGAGCGCCUCCCCUUUGGAGCACGAGACAGUGCGGUGGGUGAGGCAUAAUGAGGAAGCUCUUUCGGAGGAGAUGCCUCCUGACUACUUACUCCCUCCGUCCGUGAAUAAGUGUACCUAGCUUUUAUCUUAAGUCAAAGUUUUAAAACUUUGACCACCUUUCUAGAAAAAAGUAAAAGCAUUUAUGACACCAAAUUAGUAUCACUAGAUUCGUUUUGAAAUGUAGUUUGAGAAUAUAUCAAUUUGAUGCCAUAUAUGUUACUACUAUUUUCUAUAAAGUUGGUCAAAAUUUUAAAACUUUGAAUUAGAACAAAAUCUAGAUGUACACUUAUUCACGGACGGAGGGAGUACAUAUGAGGCAGGAAGGAGGCCAGGAUAAUCAACCAUGAUGGCCACUUCUGUGCCAUCAUAGCUCGCCUGGUAGAAGACUCCCUCCUUGAGCUCUACAAAUAUGUCUGGAUCCUCUUCGAAUCCGGUAUCGAGGGCCCGGUUGUGGUUCUCUGGCUGUGGAGCAGUGCUAUGGAUCCCCGCGAUAACCUUCCGCCAUUCCUGUCAAAAAUGGACGGGUUAAUGUCAAUUAAACAUGACUCAAGGAGAGGAUUGAGUAAGGUGGUGGGAUUAAAACUUACCCAGUUAGGGGGAUUGUACAUGGAGAAUCCCUCUUGGUGCUUAAGACGAGUAAAUUCCUCUUUAUCCCUUUUGUACAGAUCAGCCAAUAUUGUGGCCAGGGCGGCAGGGGUGUCCAGGUCCUUUCGUCCGCAGUGUGAGGCGUCAUCUUCCCCGUUGUAAUGCCACAUAGGGAUCCCUCUGAAUUGGAGUGGCUGAACACCUCGCGCUAUGGAAGUCGCCAUUACCUCGAUUAUUGAUAAUACGGACUGGGCGAGUGUCCUUAUCUUGCCCAUUAAUUGUUGAACUUUCGUGCUAUCUUCCUCCUCGAGGCUCCAAGGGCGCCAGCUGUGGUGUUUCCUCAAUGGAGCGCUGGAAAAUUCGGGAAGGCCCAUUCGUACUGGGUCGGGGAGAGCGACAUCUUCAAUAUAAAACCACUCCGUGGGCCACUCUUCGGACACCUUCUUCGGCGUGCCGGACAGGUAUCCGGUCCCGGCUAUAUGCCAUAUCUCGGCACCGCCCACCUCGAAUAUAGAUCGCUUUUGGGAGCGAGGGGUGAGGCAGAAAAGCUUCCACCAUAAGCUCAAAAUGGGACAUGCAGUCUAGGAAUAGCUCACAAAGAGUAACAAAACCCGUAAUGUGCAGGAUAGAGGCCGACGUAAGAUUAUGCAGUUGUUGGCCAUAGUACUCCAGGAGACCUCGGAGGAAGGGGUGGAUUGGAAAUCCGACACCUCUUAAUAAAAAAGAGACGAAGCACACUCGUUCCCCCUUGGUUGGAUUGGGGAAAUUUUCUGCCAAGGUUUCGCCAGUAAAAGGGGUUAAUCCUGCUCGAACGGGGACUAGAUCCGCGGGGGAAGGAAUCCCUGCGUUUGGAGCUUAACCAGAUGGUCAUACGAUACUGAACAUCUCUCCCAAUCACCUUUUUCGGAGCCAUGAAGGCGGGAGGAGGAACCGGGAGCGCUAGCCAUGUUUGAACGGUUUCUCCUAGCGAGCUCUAAGGAUUUUCUGCCUGGUGUGGAAUGGCAUCUGAUAUCCAAUCCCUUUAAAUAGAUGCCUUUUUACAUGGCCGGGGUAUUAUGUGCAAAAAAUACUCUGACCUUUUGUAUUCGCUCGACACGUGGAAGUGGAAGCAACGGAGGCGCAGAAGCUGAAGGAUAUGACAUUAAAUGAAAAAUCCAAGUAUAACUCUUCGAGUCAGAUGCUUUGAAGUAUUUGGAGGAGGAACCCAAAUUGCAAUGCCGAAGACAAUCUGCGCGUCAGACACAUCGUCAUUGAAGCCUGGUUCGGGGGCUACUGAGGGAGUCCUGGAUUAAGGGGGCGGCGGGCGUCCGGGCUAUAUGAUGUGGGCCGGACUAAUGGGCCGUGAAGAUACAAGACAGAAGACUUCCUCCCGUGACUAGAUGGGACUCUCCUUUACGUGGAAGGCAAGCUUGGCGUUCAGACAUGAAGAUUCCUUCCUCUGUAAACCAACUCUGUACAACCCUAGGUCCCCCCGGUGUCUAUAUAAACCGGAGGGUUUAGUCCGUAGAGGCAAUCAUAAUCAUACAGGCUAGACGUCUAGGGUUUAGCCAUUACGAUCUUGAGGUAGAUCAACUCUUGUAAACCCCAUAUUCAUCCAAGAUAAUCAAGCAGGAAGUAGGGUAUUACCUCCAUCAAGAGGGCUCGAACCUGGAUAAACAUCGUGUCCCUGUCUCCUGUUACCUUCGAUCCUCAGACGCACAGUUCGGGACCCCCUACCCGAGAUCUGUCGGUUUUGACACCGACACCAAGCUCAACUAAUUAGCCAGAGUUGUCCAAUGUUGAGCCCGACAACACUAGGGGUGGUGCUCAGGGAGGGUCUGACAGACCCACCAGCACCCGAGCCCACGAAGGAGAGGAAGAGACCGGCGACGAGAAAAUCCAAUAAAGCUGCCAAUGUUGGUUCUAGCAGCCAGUCGCCUUCGACCAAGGUUUACAGUGUACCGAUGAAACAUGCGCCAUUAUAAUACAUGUCGCGGGAAAGCCAAUGGUACCGGCGAAUGCGCUAGCUGCCAUAACAGGGGAUCUCAGGAGACUCCAUGACCAUGUGCUUUCGACAGAGAGAAGCCUCCUCGCCUCGGAUGAUCCUGGAUACCCACUUUAUACAGUUCAUGUGCCGAGCAGUUGCAAGAUGUACAUCCACACAUGCCCCGUGGACCUCUUCUUCCUACGAUUUAAUUACAUCUUUCAGAUGUUUCUAGUGAGGACACUCGAUUUUACGUUCGUCCGCCUGUAUGUGCUACAUCUGAACUACAUCGUCAAGAGAGAGCAAGUCACUGGUGUUGCAGUUGCGGACCCAUACUACAUGCAUGAGGGCUUCUUGUCAAUCAACGAAGCCAACCGUCAAUACGCGAGUCAAUACAUCAAAGAAUUCUUGGUCAGCAAUAAGGAAAAAGAAACGAUUCUCCUACCUUAUCAUCUCGGGUAAGUCAUCCACGGAUAGCCACUAUAACACACACAUCCUUUCAUGCAUUUCAAUAAUUACUUUGCACGCAUGGAGGCUAACUUGAUCAUGUAUUUUGCGCAGCAGGGGGUGUCAUGCCGUUCUCAUUGUUCUUUACCCGCAUUACUCCCGCGCUCUAUAUUUGGACCCGUCGAAGAACAUACAGAAGAAAUAUUACACACACAUAAAGUAUGUUCAGGACAAAGCUCUCCUGGGCUUCAGUUUGCGGGGUGGCUACAUCCAAUGAAAAAAAAGACCGGGAUGUGUUUCGGCCACAAGACAGACUUUUGUUGCAUCCAGCAACCGGCAAGAAGUGACAAUGAUGGAUUCUACGUCAUCCAUCUAAUGAUGGAGUACAGCAGGUAUGUGCAAUCACUUUGCAUGAAAUCUUCAUCCGAUACCCAUAUCCAGAGAUGGGCCGAAGCCUUUGGAACCGUGCCGAAUAAUCGACUUCGAAAUGAUUUCUACCGGAUCCAGCAGGAAAUUGCAUCCAUCAUCAUGAAAGAUGUCCUCAAAGAGAAUAGAAUGUUCUACGAUGGCCCAAUAUCACGAGCCGACGUCCGAACCCGCAUAGCCCUACAGCGUCAGGACAUGACGCCUUUCACUAAGCUUGGGUGCACCCUCCCGGAUAUGGACAGAUGGGACGAGUGCACUACUUAAAAACAAUGUGUCUGUUUAGUUACUUGUAACUUUCUGUACGGCAAAACUUCGAAUGUCUUAGUACGGCGAAACUAUUAGAUGUAAAUGGUACCGCGCUCUAGUUAAUUAGUUUUGGUAUGAUGAAUUUUGUUAACUAUGUUUACUAUAUAUGUUGCUUCUAUUUCAUAACUGUUUCUCCCCAUAGGCCGGCUUAUCUUAUGCUACAUAUUAUCGUUGAAUUCGCUUCAUGAUAUGUGUGUGUGUGCGUGCACACGCGCAUCUCUAACAGGUAUAUAGAUCAACGAUGGCGAGGAAGUGGUAUGCCGUGUAUGUAGGGCAUGUUCCGGGUGUGUACGAUGAGUGGCCAGAGUGUCAGGCCCAAGUGUACCGCUUCUCGGGCGGAAGCCAGAAAGAGUUUGAUAGCAGAGCAGAAGUCGAAGAUAAUUACUUGAGAUUCAUAGCACAACAGGGGAUUCAGAAUCAGCGCUGCAAAAACUACAUAAUACCGAUUUUGCUCAUCGUGAUCGCUCUUAUCUCGUAUGUCAUAGUUUAGGUAGAUGAUGAAACUUGUGUCUGCGGUGACAAUGUAAGAGACAUGUGAUCAUUAACUUCUAUCGCCAUUUCAAGAUGAUGAUGAUAUUGACAUCAUUUGUGUUCGAUAAUGAUGAUAUGAUGAGACUAUGUUGUACCACUUCGAUGAUGAUGAUGAGACAUUCUUUUUUCAUAUAGUUUCAGUGUAUGUGUAUGUUGUAAUUGUAUAAAACCUGUAAAAUAUGAAUACAAAAAAAAGAAAAAUAAAAUACUAGCUGUAGCGAGGGGUUUUAUAAUAGCAGCAGCCGCGCUGCCUUACCAGUAGCGUUGGUGGUAGAGGCGCGCUACUAGUAUUAGUAGCAGUGAUGGUCAGAAGCGCACUACUACUAGAUAUAGGUAGCGGUGGCGCUGGGUAAGAACCACACUACUGUAGCGCGGUAGCAGUAGCGCAGGCACCAGCGCUAGUGAUAGCCAAAAAAAUCCACGCUACUAGUAGCCUUUUUCCUAGUAGUGUCAUGAAGAAAAUUUUGAGCUAAAAAUAAAAUUUACUAAUUAGACAUGCAUGACCUUGGUAUUAAGAAUGAUGGCUUGCAUAAUUUUUGGAUCGUGUGCUGACACACAUAUCCAUUUAAAAAAAGAACAAUAUUUAUAGGGAUUUCUAUUUCUAUGCCCCCUCCUUCCUUACCUGUGCUCAGUUUUUCCCAACCCUCUAAUUUUUGCUCACUUUUUCCCUCCACCACUCGCCUUGUGCUCACAAAGAUCCAAAUUUGGAGCCUUUCCCUAUGGUCAAGGCAGUUGAUUGUUAUCUUCUCAAUUGACUGACGCGUGGGGACGAAGAUAUUAGGACAGGUGGGCAACAUAUGACAGGUCGACCGUGGCGGUGACAACUUAUGACGAGGGGGACCUAGCUCGUUGACCUAUCACUUUCUUUUGCCUAAAUUAGCCUGACCCAGGUGAGCCGCCGCAUCCCCCAUCCAGUCCCACGCCACUGCCGCCUUGCCCACUCGUAGCCCCACCGCCCGAUCCGCACAUCGCCGGCCACUCGGACUGUCUUCCUGAGCUCCGAUGGUGCAGCCUCAUGGUUCUAAUGGGCAACCCUUCCUUCCAUAUGCCGGAUCCAUUGGAGAUCAUUAGCCGACUGGUACAUUUGUAAUCAAAACCCUAGCAAUUAGGAUUCAGUUAUUAGUCGAUUGAAUGGGUGAUUGAGCGAUUAAAUUGUCAUGCAUCGAGUUGCUGCAGUUAGCAAUUAGUGUGGAUGUCUACUUAGGAUUGAAUUCCUGCCAGGGUUACUAGUGGCAGGCUGGCGGCUAGUUUUGAAAUGAAACCCUAGAAAAUAGGUUUUCCUAAAUGGAGGCCAUUUUAGAUUGUUUUGUGGUGAAUUUGAUCCAAAUCCUAUUGGUUUUAGUUCUUUGAUUUUCAAUUGGUGUUUGAUUGAUGGCAAACAACUCGUAGCUAGAAGAGGGCGAUGGAUUUCUUUUGCGCCACGGAUGAGCUUUUGCUGGCCAAGUGCAAGGAGAUAUGCUGAUGGUUUUUUAGCGUGAAAUCUCUCGUGAUACACGCGCUGGGUGUGGUGUUGGAAGUUAUGACGAACGAGCGGAUGCGUUUACUUCCUAAAGGCAAGGGGGCAGUCCCAAUUGAUAUUCUCCUGUGGGCAAUGGCAGAGUCUCCAGAUCAUCGACAGCGAGCCCGCUGGUACGAGUAUCGCUCCCGCCUCUCCUUGCCGAAUCCAGAGGCGAAAGGGCCGGUGAAUUUGCGUAUUAUCCAGGACGUCGACGAGGUGAUGGAGGAGGAUGAAGAAGAGGUGAGCUACCAGGGGGUUGCAGAUCAUCACACAGGGGUCUUCACAAGAGGAGGGCUAUUGAUAUUCUCCUGUGGGCAAUGGCAGAGGCAAUGGAGUCUCCAGAUCGUCAACAACGAGCCCGCUGGUACGAGUACCACUCCUGCCUCUCCUCGCCAAAUCCAGGGGAGAAAGGGCCGGUGAAUUUGCAUAUUAUCCAGGACGUCGACGAGGUGACUGAGGAGGAGGAUGAAGAAGAGGUGAGCUAGCAGGGGGUUGCAGAUCAUCACACAGGGGGCUUCACAAGAGGAGGGCUAUCAGGGGGGGUCGAGAUCAUAGCACAGGACGAGGAUCCAGAAGAGUAGGGCUAUCAUGGGGGUCCAGAGAUCAUCACUCAUCUUGCUCAUGCUGAAAUGAAUCUAGCGAUUAAUUUGGAAGACGAGGAUAAGCAGAAGGUUGAUCAGGAGCACUUGGAGGCUGAUGCCGGCAAUGAUCUGGCGAUGGUCACCAUGGAGGGCAAUACUGGCGGCAAGAAUGCCUUGAUAGUUGUGGAGCAGUACGAGGUCUCGAUGAAGUUUGAGCAGAAUGUUCAACGCCUACUUGCCAUUUGGCUCGCCAUCUCAGGCAUCUCCAACCCCUUCUAGCUAGUGUUGAGGAUCCUACAUGUGAUGUCCAUUUAACUGCAAACAAUAUGCCAUGUUUAAUUAAUAGUUGUAUGCUAUGUUUUGGAUUUUCUACAUUCAGUGGGUUUUGCAUGUUCAAACAUAGUGCAACACGCAAAAUUUGCCAAAAAUAGCAACAUGCAGAACUUAUCAAAAAUAGUAUCAUGGAAAACUUACUUUAAAUGGAGUCGAACUUGCAAUGUUGACUUUUUCAAGACUUGUUGUAUUGCAAGUUUAUGAUUUUUCCCACCUUAGUUCACACAAGAGGGCUUCAUGCAGAAGGAUUAUAAUUUUUGAGGAUUUUUUCAUUUUCUUUGAUUUUUCUGAAAAUGGGGCAAAAUUUGAAAUGUAGAACCUUGGUAUGAAAUAUUUCAGAAUUUCAACUUUGAUUGUCCCAAGUGGAUGCACCACCAACAGGCUUGAUGAAACGGCAUGAACGAGUAGAAACAACUCCUUCGAUUAUAACCCCCCAACUUAGUUUUUAUCGACCAACUGGGUUACCAGGAACAUAUUGGAUGAACGUUAGCACAAUAAAUUAAACUGUCCAGAAAACUCUUUCAGAACAAUUGAGCAGAAUCUUGACGUAUGGGUUUCGAGUGUUAUUGUGAGUAGCCGUCUAGCAUGGAAGAUGGAAAUAGAAACAUUUGGACCAAAAGCAUGACAACUUCAUUCUCAUGCAAAGCUCCACAAAACAAGUAAGAUUUCACAAAGACAAAGCAAAGCUCCCAUGAAACAUGUAAGAUUUCAGUGUCAAUAGAAUAUGCCACUUUACACCAAUCUAGGCAUUUCAGGUAACAGAGCAAACACAAAAUACUUUCACACUAUGCUAGGCAUUGCAUCGCAGUCCUGACCUAGGCCUUUAUUAUACUUCCUCAUGGAUAAGUAGUUCUUAUGGUUCCUUUCCCUCUCCAUCUUCAGAGAAAGUUGUGGGACAAAUCAAUAAAAUGUUGGGUCAGUGUGGUUAAACCAACAAAAAAAAGGCACGUCCAUCCCACUUGUAUGAUGCAAAACCAGUGGUAUCUCCAAAAAUGGAAAAAUAAAAUGUGAGAACAUAAGAAAAACAAUGAUCUAAAAAACAGUGGAUUGAAUGUGGCAUACCAACAUGAAAAUAUUAUCCCACUAUUUCAACCUAUGUUAAGGGUACUAUAGUUGUCUAGAAACAGUCCAUUUACUUGAAGAGUGCUAGAAAUGCACAAACAAUUUCAUAACAUUGCAUAAGGUGUCAACUUUGAAAUACCAGUUACACCGGCAAGCUGACCUGCUACCACAUUUAAAAUGUUUAAGCAAAAAACACAAAUGUUUUAAAAAGUGGCAGAGAAAGCGCUCCAGCUCCACCUAGCAACUAGACCACUGCCUAGCAUUUCUAGGCAUUUCACAAAAAAAAGAGCCAAGUGUAUAUAUACUUCAUUAUACACUGUAAAAUUUUAAGUUUGACAAGGAUGAGUACUUCAAUCAGUCAGAUAUUUACUAGACACAGUUUCCAUACAUCUCCCACUUAUCCUCUUCACUACCCACUAUUCCUGUCCUGCAAAGUAGGCAGUAGCAUGCAAGAAAGCACUGAAUAAGUAUUGGGAACACGGACCGGUGCUGUGCAACUGACACACUAAAGCAGCAAAAAGCAGGAAAAAAACACCUUUUUGAAUGCUUAAGCAUCCAGGCACUUAAAAGCAAUCGCUUAGAUGAAAGACCUUAGGCGCAGCUUUUUAAACACUAAACUACCAAGGUAACUUUAACAUAACAUCUGCUAUCAAGAAACUAACAAGACUAGUGCAGUCACUACUAUCAUUUGGAACAAAAGUCUUCAAAAGAUCCCGCUAUUUCAACCUAUGUUAGGGGUAAUAACAGACCUUUUACAUGAAAAGUGCUAGAAAUGCACAAUUUCAUAAAAGUGCACAAGGAGUGAACUUUGAAUUAACAAUUACACCAGCAAGCAGAAUUGCUACCACAUCCAAAAUGUUUAAGCAAAAACCACCAAUACUUAACAAACCGUAGAGAGAAUCAAGCGCUCCAGCUCCACCUAGCAGGCUAGCACCCACGCGCUGCCUAGUGUUUCUAGGCGUUUUACAGAGAACAGAGCAAAGUGUAUAUACUCUUCAUUAUAAACUGUAAAUGUUUUAGUUUGAGAAGGAUGAAUGUUUCGAUCAACGAUAUAUUUACUAAAUAUAGAGUUUCCAUACAUGGCACUUCUCCUCCUCCUCUAUCACUACCCAUUGUUCCUGUUGUCAUGCAGGAGACAGUAGCAUACAAGAAUCACUGAAUAAGUAUUGGAAACAUGAAUCGGUGACACACUAAAGCAACAAAAAGUAGGGGGAAAACCCUUUCGGAUUAAGCACUUAAAAUCCAUGGCCCCAUAGCCCUUGGGCGCAGACUAAUCUGCUAAGGUAACAGUCAGUCCUAUCGUCAGAAACAACACUCUUCAAAACAAGAGUAAACAGUCGUCGAAAUAAGACUCUUCAAAAGAAGACCUGCCCCUCCAGUCACCUAGUUUAACCUAGAUAAUCAAAAAUAUAUAUCUUAUGAUGGGUUCCCAAAUAAAACAGUCACCUAGUAUAAGAUGCUGACAUAGACCGCAGUGAGUAGCAUUGGUGAUGGUAUAUCAACAUGGGAGCAUGACAACACCUGGAGGUGAUGCGCACGGAUCUUGCCGGGAGUUGAGACAUAGGAUGAGUGGUUCGCGGUUGCUGUACGCCUCCCGCAGCGCCGCCUUUUUCUUCUUCACCAUCUCUGCGAGAAAAGGUUGGCUGAACAACCCAGAUAGAUUAAAUUUUGCUCGGUUAGUUAGAAUCAAUUAAAUUCCCCAAGAUAGACAUACACGCAAGCGAGCGAACAAGAGAGAGGGCGCGCACACAUCUCGGAGGGGACACCGUUGGUGACCUUGGCUGCCCUAAGUUCCUUCAGCUUCGCCUUUAGCUCCUUAAGUUGCACCCUAAGUUCCGCCCGCUUGACCGGGUCUGCCGCACAACAACGGAGGCGUCAGAUCCACAAGAAACUAGUAAGGACGGACGCAGUGAUGCUUACCCAUGGCGUCAGGGGCAAAGCGGAGGCGGCGGCGGAGCGGGGUGGAGGCUGUGCGCGAAGGCAACUGAUCGACUGCCGGCGGCGGGGGAGGCUUAUAUAAGUAAGAUAGAAGGGAAUACAAAACCAUAGAUUGAGGCGCAGUGUGGGCUGAAUUGGUUGGUCACCUAGGGUAGAGUUUUCCCCUCACGUUAGGGUUUCCUUCUCCUGGUGGCGAUCCUGCGCCGCCGUCGAGCGUUCUCCUUCCCUCCUCCGAUUCUUCCUGCAUGACGGAUCCGGGUCGACCUCGGGGGGAUCCCAGCAUCCCCUCCCGACCUGGGUUUCAUCCCCCUGCUAGGACGGGAGAGUUAGGGUUAAUUUACAAGGCCCAAUCGUUUUCUUUCUCGGGCUAGGGUUCAAGUUUGGUGCGGCGAUGGGAUCAAGGACCAACGAGGCGUCGGGUUCCUGCUCCGCAUCAGAGGUGGAGAAGAUGAUGGCUGAGCUAGGGCUUCGCGACGAAGACCUAGAUGACGUUGUUUUUGAUGAGAAAGCUGCACCACCGGAGGCAGCGAGGUGGAUGGCGGUGGCUAGAGUUCACAUAGAUAAGUCGUACAGUCAAUAUUGGUUCUUCAAAAACAUGCGGGCUGCGUGGGAUCUAGCACGCGAUGUCAAAUUCUGCCCGCUUGAGGAUAAUCUGUAUACUCUGCAGUUCUUUUGCUUGGGUGACUGGGAACGAGUGAUGCAAGAAGGACCAUGGAAUUUCAGGGGUAACGCCGUCAUCAUCACACCAUAUGACGGCAUCACCAAGCCAACUGAAGUGAAGCUAGACACCCUUGAUAUAUGGAUACAGAUCCACGAUGUACCUGACUUAUAUGCACAUCUGGUUGGGCCUUUAGCUGCAAAAGUCGGGGAAGUUUUGUUCACUGAGACAAUGACUCAAGACUUUGCUGGAAACUUCUAUUGUGUAUGGGUCAAGAUCAACGUUAAUAAUCCCCUGAAGGAUGCGGUCUCUAUGAUUCGUGAUGGCAAGCGUCAGAUAUACCGUGUGAAAUACGAACGCUUGCCGGAUUGGUGUGCUAUGUGUGGCCAUCUUGGGCAUGUCUACAAGGAGCACGGCAGUGGUAUUCACCCCCCAUCGGCGCUGUACUUUAAGAAUCUCAGAGCUGAAUGGAACAUGCAUGUUGGUGCAGGCCCGGGGGUAGGGCGAGGAAGAGGACGCAGCGGCGGCCGCCGGGGUGGACGUGCUAGGGGGGGAAGAGCCGAAGAUGGAAAACCCAACGAUGCAGACUCUGAGCUGCCGCUAAAUGCCGAUGAGGAUGCAAUAAUGAAGGAAGUGGAGGAGAGCAGGAAACGCACUUCUCAUCCAUCAGGAGAUCCUGGAUUAACUAGCUCUUCGGCCUCCCUUCCCAGUCUGGUUUCUUCAGAAAGUAUGGUGAAUCCAUUGGCGAUUGUUCCGGCAGGAGCUGCGAUGGUGAGUCCUCCUCCAAAGAGAGACCCAAAGAGGACUAGGCUGGAAGAUGAUGGAUCAUAUGGACAAAGUGUAGCAGUGAAGAUGUUGGCGGGCUCCUUCGAGGAGCGCCGCCGGGCCCAAUGAAUGCAUUAUGUUGGAACUGUCGUGGUUUGGGCAAAGCCGCGACGGUUCGAGAAAUUCGUGAUUUCGCGAAUAAGUUUGCCCCUACCCUAAUGUGUAUUGUAGAAACUCAGAUUGAUGGAACUAGGGUAGAAGCAUUAGCUGGCUCGUUUGGAUAUGAUAAUGGAUAUGCUAUUGAUAGUCAAGGUAGAAGUGGCGGCAUCGGUGUUUUUUGGAACAAUGAAAUAAAGCUUGAGAUUUUAGGUUACUCAGUGUAUCAUAUUGAUUGCUCUGUGACAGAACCAGGCAUGGAUCCGUGGAGAUUAACUAUAGUGUAUGGAGAAGCUCAAACACACCUCAGAUCACAAACAUGGGACACUCUCAAGAAUCUGAGCAAUUCCAAUAAUCUCCCUUGGAUUUGUCUAGGAGAUUUCAAUGAGGUUUUGAGGCCCGAUGAGCACGUCGGGAUUGGACAGAGAAGCAACGCACAAAUUCAAGCGUUUCGAGAUACCGUGGACGUCUGCAGUUUAAUGGAUAUUGGCUUCUUUGGACGGCCUUGGACUUUCGAGAAGUGAGGGGAGGGACGUACACUCGUGUAUGCCUAGAUCGGGCCCUAGCCACGACAGAGUGGCGUACUCUGUUUCCUAUGGCUGACCUGUCACACUUAACAACAACCACCUCUGACCAUUGUCCAAUUUUAUUGAACUUAAACAGAGAGGAGAUGGUGGCUCGGCCACCCCGAACUUUUCGAUAUGAGGUUAUGUGGGAGGGCCACUCGGACUGGGGAGAGACGAUCGAUACAGCACGGUUACAGAAGGGUGUGAGCACAACGGUGGAACAACUCAAGGAUAAGUUGCAUGCGAUAUCAAAUGACUUAGGGCGCUGGGACAGAAACACCUUUGGUUGUGUCCGUAAGGAGAUCAAGGACCUGAAGAAGGAACUUGUUAAACUUCAGUCAGACCCCAAUCGUACGGCACCAACCCAUGUUGAGCUCAAGAUAAAUGAGAAACUGGUGGAACUCUAUCACCGUGAGGAAUUGAUGUGGAGGCAAAGGUCCAGAAUUUAGUGGCUAACGUCGGGCGACAAGAACACAAACUUUUUUCAUUUGAGAGCAAGUAUAAGGAGGAAGAAGAACAUGAUAAAAGCUUUGCAAAACUCUCUUGGUGUGAUUUCUGUUGAUCCCCACGAACUAAAGGUCAUGGUCCAAAACUUCUAUACAUCUCUGUACACGGCUGAAGGUACUCACAAUAUGAAUGUGGUGCUAGACACCGUGUCGGUCAAGGUGACAAGGGAGAUGAAUGAGCUCCUGUGCGCCCCCUACACCAAGGAUGAAGUAAAAUCAGCCUUAUUCCAAAUGUUCCUGACAAAAGCUCAUGGUCUAGACGGAUUUCCGGCUCAUUUUUAUCAGCAUCACUGGGAUCUUUGUGGUGAUGAGGUUACAGAGGCAGUGUUGAAAAUUGUAAGGGGAGAGGAAAGCCCAGAAUGCAUCAACGACACAGUCCUAGUGCUAAUUCCAAAGGUAUCCAACCCAUCCCUUCUGUCACAAUUCAGACCCAUAAGCUUAUGUAAUGUUUUAUACAAGAUUGCGUUCAAGGUCAUUGCCAACAGGCUCAAGCAGGUAUUACCGGAUAUUAUUUCUGAAGAGCAGUCGACCUUUGUACCGGGGAGGCUCAUCACAGAUAACAUAAUUAGUGCAUAUGAAUGCCUUCACUUUAUGAAAAGGAACAAAUACAAGGUACAUAGCCACUGUGCUUUGAAGCUUGAUAUGAUGAAGGCAUAUGACAGAUUGGAGUGGGACUACCUGCAAGCAAUGAUGUUGAAACUGGGUUUCGAUUCAGCUUGGGUGAAUAUUGUGAUGAGCAUGGUACACACUGUCUCUUUCUCAGUCCUCUUCAAUGGCGAGAGACUUGAUCAGUUUAGCCCGGGAAGGGGCAUUCGGCAGGGAGAUCCGAUCUCCCCAUACCUUUUCUUAAUUGCAGCAGAGGGCCGCACGUGCCUCCUCAAAAACAGUUCUUCGUCAUCCCAGCUUGAGGGGAUCAAGGUGGCUCCAACGGCUCCUGUCGCCAGUCACCUCCUCUUUGCCGAUGACAGCCUGCUGCUUUUUAAGUCAAGUACUAAUGGGGCUGUUUUGGUGUCAAACCUACUGAAUUACUAUUGUAUGGCUUCAGGUCAGCGCAUUAAUCAUGAGAAGUCCUCAAUCUUUUUCAGCCGUGGCUGCCCUCAGGUGGUAAGAGACAGUAUCAAGAACACUUUAAAUGUCCACAAUGAGUCUUUGAGCGAUCGGUACUUGGGAAUGCCCACCGAUGUUGGACACUCGAAGAAUGGCACGUUCAAAUACCUGAGAGACCGUGUUUGGGAGAAGGUGAAAGGAUGGAUGGAGAAAAUGCUUUCUUAUGCUGGCAAAGAAAUCUUAAUAAAAUCAGUGGCGCAGGCUAUUCCCGUAUAUUCCAUGUCUUGCUUCCGCCUACCUCGGGGCCUUUGUGAGAGUGUGUCAACACUGAUUCGGCAGUUCUGGUGGGGCAGCAAACAAGGGAAGCGGAAGCCCAGUUGGGUGGCCUGGGACGUCAUGACUAGACCGAAGCAUAUGGGGGGACUUGGCUUUCGGGAUUUGGAGAUCUUCAACCUAGCCCUUCUAGCCAGACAAGCAUGGCGAUUGAUACAUCACCCUACGUCUCUAAGUGCACGAAUGAUCAAAGCAAUUUACUAUCUGGACACUUCUCUUUUUGAGGCAACUUUAGGAUCUCACCCCUCGUAGAUUUGGCGAGCGAUUAUGGAUGGACGUGACGUAAUGGUACAAGGCCUGAUCCGUCAAAUUGGCAAUGGUGAAUCAACAGAGAUCUGGAGCUCGAACUGGAUCCCGAGGCCGAAUCUGAAACGGCCUCUAACAUCUCUGCUACAACAUCCUCCUACCAAAGUCUCCGAGUUGAUCAUCCCGGCCACUUCAUCAUGGAACGAACAACUUGUUCGGUCGACUUUCAUCCCGAUAGAUGCAUAGGCAAUCUUGCAAAUACCCUUGUGCACACGUCAGACCAAGGACUUUUGGGCGUGGAGUGAGGAAAGAACUGGACACUUCACUGUCAGGUCGGCGUACAGAAUGAUCCAGCGAGUUAAGUUCAGCCAGGAAGCUUGGUUGUACGAGCAAGGGGGAUCCUCACACAGCGACACAGACAACAAAUUUUGGUCAUAGCUAUGGGGGUGCAAGUUCCUUCAAAACUGAAGAACUUUCUAUGGAGGCUGGCACAGCAUACGAUACCAACGGCAGGACUUUUGAAUCGCCGCAACAUGUCUACUAGCAGCUCAUGCAUCCUAUGUGGAGAGGAGGAUACUUGACGCCAUGCUCUUCUAAACUGCAUUGUAUCAAGGAGUACGUGGGCGCUUUCAUCAGAAGCAAUCUUGGACGGGAUAAGUACAAACAUCAAUGACAACGCCAAAGACUGGUUAUUCUCCAUGCAAGAAGUUCUCCCUCAACCAGAGUUCAUAAAAUUUGUGGUUACACUCUGGGCUAUUUGGGGUGCACGACCUAAGGCAAUUCACGAGCAGAUAUACAAAAGCCCAUUCGCAACACACUCUUUUGUGCAGUCAUAUCUGAGAGAGUUGGAGGCUAUUAAACAGCCAUCAGCAUCAGUUCCCAGGCCUGGUCCACGGCCGACACACUGGAUACCUCCACCGGAGGGAGCAGCUAAAAUUAACGUGGACGCCGCUGUUGGAAGAGGAGGAAGAUAUGGAGCUGUGGGAGCAAUAUGCAGAGACCGCUCAGGUGCUUUGCUGGGAGCUUCGGCAAUGGUGUUCAUGAGAAUCUCAGACCCAGCUACUCUUGAAUGCUUGGCAAUCAGGGAGUCUCUUUCCCUGGCAGAUGAUCUGUACGAACGGAAGAUUCAAGUUGCUUCAGAUUGCAAGGUGGUCGGAAGAUGUCAGAGAAAGAAACACGACUAUUUAUGGAGCACUCAUACAUGAAAUAUUAGAACAUAAGGCUACUUUUCAAGCUUGUAAUUUUAGUCAUGAAUUUAGGAGCUCGAAUGUCGAGGCUCACAAACUCUCGAAGCAUGCUUUAUCACUUUCAGCUGGCCGACAUGUGUGGUUAGGCCAGCCGGAUGGACUUUCCUUCGUCCGUGUAAACGUUGUGACGAGUUAAUAAAAGCUUCCGAGUUUGUCUCAAAAAAAAACCAAGAAAAAGUAUUUCUAUUUUCCAUGUCCAAUAGCAGAUCCUGGAAUUUCUACAAUAAAUUAGAUAGGUAGCUAAUCUAGUUCCCUAUACAUGAGUCUGUUGUCAUUCUACUGGAAUGAUGAAUACCUUGAGCAGGUAGAACUAGAAAGAAUAACAUGUGUUUAGAAUAACAGGAAAACUACAAACAAAAAUAGUGAAAAUUAGCUCGUUGGAGCCUUUUCCGAAAUUAUUGUAGACCCAACGAAUUGGUAGUUCCCAACCGCGGGUGGAGUGAAAUCCAACAAAAAUCAGUAACUAAACAAAUAACCAUCUAUAUCUAUACCUACUAAUAAAAGAAAUAGGUAUUCUUGGUUCGUCGUUGUUUUUGCAGAAAAACCCUUCACCUUUUUAAGAGCCAACCCGCAAUCCAGAUAAAAGCUCGUCCCAGAAUUUCUGCUCCCUACAUGGGCCGGCCAGUCCCUAGCGUGGGACAAGGUGGGCCUGGUUCGCUUCUUUCGAUAAGAAGGAAAAAUAUAUAUAUGAAGAGCACUCGAACUUGAGAGCUUCACUACCAACCACAACAGAACAACCAACUCACCUAUCAUUUGUUCCGUGUGCAAAACCUGGUCGUUACCUAAUUACCAGUUGCCUAGAAAAUGGAAACUACCAAAAAAAGAAUGCACGUGUCAAUUAAAAAAUCCCGCUAAAUGUGGACAUGACGAUGCCAAUAAAAGUAAAAGACCCAAGAUAAGGAAGGACGUGCAGAAAUUGACUCCAAUUAUAUGGAUUAUGGGCUUUAUUGGAAAAUUAAGUGGGAUUUCGAGAAACCCAAUAAAGGGCCACAUGCACGCCGUAUUUCUUUCCAUGAAAUGGAAUUUUCAUGACAUAAUUGGCCGCAUUUCUUUCCAUCAAAUGGAUUUUCAUGACAUAACUGGCCGCAUUUCUUUCCACUAAAUGGAAUUUUCUUCACGUAAUUGGCUCCCUAAUAAAUGUUAUUAUGCUGAAAGUUAGAUAGCCCAACAAUUAAGUCGCUUUAAAUGGGGAGAAGACCUUGCACCCCAUAAGAAAAAAUAAAAUUAAAAGGCAGCACAACAUCUCCACAUGUUUUUUGGAACAAACAAAAUUUUCCUCAAAAAGUACAAACAUACAAUAAAAUAUAAUAUUAUUUAGAUGUAUAUAUGGGAGUACAAGAUGCGUAACAUGCGUUAGAUGAUAGAUAGGGUUAAUUCGGACUAUAUAGAAAUCAGUGUUGGGAUAUCGAAGUUAUGUAAUCGAAUUUUCUACCCGGUAACAAAAUGGAAAAUUGAAAUUUAUUGUGCUAAAUUUUCAUAGUCUAAUUUUUAAAAUAUCUUUAGGACAUAUUAGUACAUGGUUUGUUCGUUAUUUAAUUUUACAUGUUGUGUUUUCUAGACGCAAAGAUAUUUUUUUAUUCCCGUUGCAACGCACGGGCAUAUUUCCUAGUACAAAGUUAAAAGAAUUACCAGUGAUCUUAAAUACAACUCUAGCUACCAUAUUGUUGGACUAAUCUAACAAUUGAUCCAAGCAUGAACUUGAACGCUUGAAAUUUAGGACAGUAUAACCGGACCUAAAGCGAGCCCUCUCAAUGAUUUGCAUUUCCGAUCAUCCGUUUUCACGAUCCAGGUGUUUCUGCUCUGGAGGCCGAAACGCAGGCCUGUGGUAAACUGGGCCGUCGGCCAGCCCAUUACAGUUCGAGUCCAUCGUGAUGGUAGGCCCACAGAGGAGGAGCGGACUAUUGGAUCUCGUCUAUGAUGGAUAUUGAUGUGGAGGCGCCGGACGACUGCACAUCAGCUUCCGAGUAGUAUCUGGGCAGUGCAUUAUAGCUUUCGAGUAGUAGUAGCAGCAGUGCACAGCGAGGUGCCGCCCUCACCCCUGGCGGCAGGUGCCAGUGCAGGGGGUGCCGCCCUGCCCUUGGCGGCAUGUGCCCACGUGGCAGGGUGCCGCCGGGGUCGGUGCCGCCGUUGCCAGGUGGUCUCUUUUGACAAUGAUUUUCAGAGGUGGUCUCUUUUGAUAAUGAAUUCGUUAAGGUGGUCUCUUUUAACAAAAACUCCCACAGACCUUCACAAUCAACAUUAGAGAAAAAUAAUAUUUUGUGUGUAUAUAUACUUUUCUGACCCGGGUUAAAUUGUGCAGAAAAGCUACUCCAAAACAUCAUUUAACCAGAGAACCACUUAAUGGAUACCUCUCCUUCAGAGAUAUAAGCUAUCUGGUAAAUCCUUCAUCACUAUUUUUGUGCUUCGUAUAUUCUUAGACUGCAUAUGGGGUUGUUGAUCAAAAUGUAUUGGCUGCAUAUGGCAAUGGACUAUUCAGAUCCAAACAUGUACAUCUUCAGAUACAUUUUGAAAGCUAAUCCUAUGCCAAAAUUUUGGAAGUUUCCUUUAGUUUGUCAAAAAAUAUCCCAAGCAUACAUACAAGUUGCAGAGUAAGAGUUCGUUGAGCUAACAGUGCUUCUUAUUUCAAACUGUAGUUAGUUACUAUGGUGAGUGUGCUUUGAGUUUGAUCUUUAUUAACAUUGAAGCCAACAUGCAAACCUAUAAGCACUAGAUAAAUGUUUUAUAUAUGACGAGCGUCUGUAUAUAUUUCUGGGAUGAACAAGUGAGUGGUGAAAAUUCUAUAGGAGUUUGGUCAUAAGACAUCCUCAUUCAUAUCAUAUCAUAUCACAUUACGCCGGCAGACUACUUUAGAAAUUGUAGAUAACUAAGGAGAGGCUACAUAUGAUCAUAUUAUUUAAUCUAGGUACCAUCUAAUAUAUAGGCUUGGCAUCUAACACUACAGAAAACGACACAUCCGUGACAUUUUGGGCCGAACGAUUUUUUUGUCAUACUUAUGACACUUCUAUGACGAUAAUUGUGACAAAACCCGGUAUCAUCAUAGAUGUGGUGGGCUCCUACUUCUAUGACAAAAAUCAUGACAGAAAAUGGGCUUUUCGUCCUGGGCGGGCCGGACACGCAGCUGCAUGACAUUUUUUGGGCCGUCCAUGAUGGAAAAAACCGUGGUAGAAGCGAGUGCGAGGAAAAUAUCGGGGUGUUCCCGGUUACGGUGGAUGGUCGGGGCCGAGCGAUGCAUAAAGGUUUGCGUGUUUCUCUCAUACACGCACACGCGUGGGUGCGAGGCCUUGGACUCUAACUGAACCCGAGCGAGGCGUUCGCCUACUGAACCCGAGCGAUUGCACUGCAGGCUAUGCGUUACUGAACCCGAGCGAUCGAUCGAUGGCUGUUAACUGAACCCGAUCGAGCGAUUCCUUCGCUACUGCUGCUAACUGAAGCCGAUCGAUGCUGCCUCUGGAUGAACAGUGGGCGUUGCUGGGGGAAGGGGGUUGGAUGAACAGUUCCUGGUGGGGGUGGAUGAACAGGACCCCGUGGUGUUGCCUCUGGAUGAACAUGACACUGAUCGAUCGAGCCGGUUGGGGCUGGAUGAACAGGACCCCAUGGAGGUCUGGAUGAACAAGACCACCCCAUGGAGGGCCGGAUGAACAGUAGACGGUGGAUGGAUGGAUGAACAGUAGCCCGUGGAGGGGUGGUUGAACAUGAGCCUGUGGAGAGGGCUGGUUGAAUAAUAGCCGGUGGAGUAGCGCGCGGUGGAGGCUGGAUGAACAGGAGCCCGUGGAUGAACAGUCGCAGGUGGAGGCUGGAGGAGAUCGACGGUGGAUGAACAGUAGCCUGUGGAGGCUGGAGGGGGUCGAUGGUGGAGAUGAACAGUAUCCCGUGGAGUCCCGUUUUGCUGUACGCCACACCCCUCCCGAUGAACAGGACCCCCAUUUCGACCGUAGCGCUCCAACACAAGUCCGUUUUCUCUGUUUUGCGGUACACCCCACCCCUCCCGAUCAACAGGACCCCGUUUCGACCAUUGGAGGUCCAACACAAGUCCGUUUCCUCCGUUUUGCGGUACGCCAGACCCCUCCCGAUGAACAGGAUCCCGUUUCGACCGUGGCCAGUCGAACACAAGGCCGUUUCCUCCGUUCUGCGGUACGCCAGGCCUUGUUUCCAUCAGCUGUUCCAUCCAAGCCCUCCUGAUGAACAUGACGACGCAUUCCGUUCCGACCCAGCCGGUUGGCUCCCUAUGAACACGAUGACGACGCUGUUUCUCUGUUCCGACCCAGCCAUGUACAUGAGCCCUGGCCGUACAUAUGCGCGAGUAGGCGUUCGAGACCCUGCCCGUAUGUACGUAUGUGGCCGUAUUUUCUUUCUUGCACACUGGCCGUUGUACAUACGUGUACAUGCUACGUGCGCGCCUCUACUACGACACAUGUGCGUCUCUACAUGGACCAGUAUGUACGUACAAGUUCGCGACCAGAAUGACAACGCUACGCAUGCUUUGACCAGGUGGGUCCCGACUGUCAGGCACUUCCUUGCGUGCGAAGAAGUAGCUGGUGGGUCCCAGCAGUCAGGGGGGCGAAUCAUUUUUUUGGCCCGGACACACUUCCUUGCGCAAGAUGUCACUGGUAGGUCCUAGCAGUCAGGGGGAAACGUUUUUUUCACGAAAUACGGUUGCCCGUAUGGUGGGUCCCUGCUGUCAGGUGGAGGAAUCAUUAUUUUCCGCGUAAUAAGGAGGCACUUCCUUGCUGCGGUUGUGGACCCAGCUGUCAGCCUCUCCAUGUACAAUCCAUGUCCAAUGGAAGCCGUUCCUUGACCAUGUUGACCACGUCGCGCCGAGAGCACCAGGGUGGUGGACGACGGCGAGGCCUAGGAAGGGGACGACGCGGAGCCGGGGAAGACGCGACAGUGGAUGCCGACACGUAGAGGAGUAUGAUGGUUCACUGGUUCGCUGCAGUGUGAGGCUACCGUCGCCGCAGAAUAACAGGGGGUGUGGGUGAGUAGAGGGAUGGCCUGGCCAGUGAUGGGAGUAGUAGGGGGCGGUGAGGCCUCUGCGGCAUCGCAGCCGGCCACGGGAGGCAGGAGCACGAGGCACGACAGGCGCUGGUUUGGACGGUUGGAGCAAGAAGACCAGAGGUUGAAGAAGCACUACAGCCGUUGGAUGGACAUCGUACGGUCACUGGAGCUAGAAUCGUUCAUAUUGACUAAGUUGACAAAGCCCUCCGUCCCCGUCAACUUAGUUGGCCCACAAGUCAGCCUCCCACUAUUGUGGGUCCCAGCUAGCAGGGGGUAUUCAUUUUUGUGUGUGUAAUAAGGAGGCACUUCCUUGCAUGCGAAGAUAUAGCUGGUGGGUCCGACCUGUCAGCGGUGGGAACGUUUUUUUCGUGAAAUACAGAGGCCCUUCCGGUGGGUCCCAGCUGUCAGGUCCAGGAAUCAUUAUUUUGCACGUAAUAAGGAGGCAUUUCCUUGCGUGCGGCCGUGGACCCAGCUGUCAGCCUCUCCACGCACAGUCUACUUCCGAUGGUGUCGUUCGUUGACCAUGUUGACCACUCCGCCCGAGCGCAUCCGAGGUGGUGGACGACGGCGAGGCCCCAGAUAGCAACGCGCCAGAGAUGGGAAGACGUGGGAGUAGAGUCGCGGACGGAGAGGUGUACGAGGGUUAACUGGUUCUAGUGCGGUGUGGUUCGGAAGUCGGUGGAUAAGAAUAGGAGGUGUGAAGGGGUGGAGGGAUGGCCUGGCCAACGGUGGUGUAGUGCUUCACAGCGAAGCGUGCUAAGAAGAGCUGCUAGCAGCAGGUGGCGGGAGCAGGUGGUCCCGGCGACGCUGGAGGAAGAAGACGAGAGAUUCAAGAUGGAUGACGGUCGUUGGAUAUAAAUCCAACGGCUAACGAUGUCAGAAUCAUUUGUUGACUAAGUUGACAACGACUUGCAUUGGCUUCGACCUAGGUCCAUAUUUCAGCCUCCAAAAAUGUGGCAUGUAUUCAACCUAUUUUUUUCAAAAUUUACAGUCUUUUUUUGCGGGGUAGAAUUUUACAGUCAAUUUGAUCUUUUUUUUGAAUUACAGUUCAUUAGCUGGGCUGGGUGAACAAAUAAUAUAGCAUUUAUGCAGUGUUUUUCCUAAAAAUUUAUAGGCCAUUUGCACUUUCUCGAAAUACAUAGCUGGGCUGAUUCUAAUUAUAAUGUUGGGUGGGUGCAGCAAUGUUAUCAAAAAAUAAACAGGGGCUGAGCAUUUUUUUAUAUAUAUAUUAAAAUAAUAAGUGAUUUAUUAGUACAUUGGUCCUUAAAUCUUACCAAGCUUUUGUACACAAUCACCAGGAUUUUCGUUGCCAAAAAAAUCCAGUAUUUUAUUGUUAAGAAAUUAUUUUUAUGAGUUAAUAAGAUGUGGGAUAUUAUUUUCUUACAUAUGUAAGUAUCUGUUAAAUAUAUGAUGACAAUAACAAUAAUAUAUAAUAACAUAUAAAAUAAUUUAAAUAUAUAUAUAUAAUAUAGUUAGAAGGGAAACAUAAGUUGGAGCAGACAUUCUUAUUCUUAUAUAGAAAAAUAGAACAGACCUCCGCGUUUUUUUCAAAAAAAAAAACAUAAAUUGGGUUGCCGAUGUUUCAAGAAAAAUAAAAUCUCGGAUGGGAGGUCCAUAGGCCUAUGGACCUCCCAUCCGAGGUCGUGGGCUGCGCAUGUUAAAAAAGAAAGCCUAGACGAGGCAGUCCAAAACCCAGCUGAUACUUGCUGCCCUAGUGAUAAUAAAUGAUACCUGCCAGCUCCCCGGCUUCGUUGUGAAUUUAUCUCCGAUAGUAACUACGUAGAAGCACCUAAAAAAUGUAACUAUGUUGACAAACCCGUGGGCCCCAACAUCAGUAUGGCAUUAGGAGGAAGUAUUUUUUCGAUGAGGCACUUGUUUGCGUACGACCAUAGACCUGGUGGGCCCAGACUAUCCGCCUCUUCACAUACAGUCCUCUCCAGAUUCCUCUCGUUUGUUUAGCAUGUUCACAAUGGCAGACAACAGCGUCGCGGCGAGCGCACAAAGGCGCAGGAGGAGAUCCGACCACCUGAGGAAGUGCCUUAUUAGUAACGAAACAACUGAACUAGCCUAGUGGCCGAGUGACACUACCCGACAGCUGUUCCGCCCGGGUUCGAUUCCACAUGUGCAGAGAAAAUAUCUCCAAAUUUUUUGCCUCUUCCUUUAUUGACAUGCGGGUCCCAAUUGUCAUCUACGCACACCACGUCCAACAUCUGCCAGAACUUCGUCCCUCGUUUUCUCUGUUUUUUGCACACUCGACAUUGUGUGGGCAUUUUUAAAAUAGCAUAUCUUUUUGACUGUGCAUGAUAUGAAGAUGUGCUAUGCAUGAAUGUUGAUUAGCAUGAUGUUAACUGGCUGGUAGUUCCAGUUUCGACCAUGAAUAAAAAUUCCAACAUGAUGUUAACAUGGUUUGAAAAAGCCGUGUUAAUAUAAAUGUUCUGCCUCUGAAAGUUGCAGUUUCUUAUCUAAAACUGAACUUGGAGUUUCUUAUCUGAAACUGAAACUUGCAGUUUCUUCUGUGAGAAUCACAUUGUCUGCACUUUUUUACUCCUAUGAAACUACAUUUUUAAGUGCUGAAAUAGAUCUCUAGAAUUCAUAAAAUACUUCAUAUGCUCAAUACUGCAAAUCUGAAAUUCAAAAUACAUUCAUAUAUGAAAGUACUCUCAAAAUACACAACACAAAACACAAUUCACAACCUACAAAUACUAACAACCCUAAGCUCCUCUUGACAAUUCACAACCUGCUCGACUAUUGGGCAGGGUGGGUAGUCCCUCCUAUUCCUCGGCGGCAGAUAGCCGCCCGUGAGACGAUGUGAACGGCGAGGGAGAGGAUGGUGGGGAAGCGUCGUCGGGCCAACUAUUUUUCUCCUCUUGCAGUUGGGUUCAGUCGACGGAGACUCCACCGGCUCGCUCUGGCACGACACCCUCACAAACGGCACCCUGUAGAUACUCGAUCCUUCAAUCUCUGGUCGAUGCUCCAUCUGGGAUCGAUACUCCCACCACCGCUCCCUCACGAUCAGAUUCGGUGAAUCUGUUUGCUCCAUGGUCCAGAGGAGUAGCUCUAUGUACUCCCGCGCGACUCCCUCCGGGAGUAUCGUCGCCUUUUCGCUCUGUUGCAGAUAUUUGGCCAUGGAUGUCGCCGUCGCCGCUAGUUGGUCCUUGUUGUCAAACCAAGACUGUAUCUCCAACAUCCUAGCUAGCUUCACAGGGUCGCCGUCUGCGAUCCUCACGUAUCGGUUGUACUCCUCCAUCGAUCUACUUGUCCACAACACCUUCACUCGCCGGCGGUGGUUUUUGAAUGGAAGAGGAGAGGAGCAGCGCUGGUUUUGGAUUAGAACGGGAGAGGAGUGACGCUGGUUUUGUAUUGGAACAGGAGAGAAGGGGCGGUGGUUUUGAAAUGAAAGAGGAGAGGAGCGGCGCUGGAUUUAGAUUGGAACAUGAGAGGAGCGGCAGUGGUUUAAGAGGAGAAGAGCGGAAGAGCGGCGCUGGUCUUGGAAGUAUUUUUUUGUUUUGCAUAUUUUGGGUCAAAGUUUGACCACGUAUUGUAUUUCACAAGCAAAAUGUGAAUGCAUGUCACCAAAUAUUGUAUCGUUUGGUUCGUAUCUGAAUGUACUUUGAAAUUAUAUUAUUUUUGCAAUGUAUAGUAUAUAUUUUAUUUGCGAAGAUCAUGGUCAAUUAUGACCCAGAAUAAAAGGAAGACUAGUUAUUGUGGGGUCGAUUUCUUAAUUGAAGGAUAAAUUGAUUUUGAUUUUGAUCCAGUCACAGCGCGCUGGCCCUCUCGUCCAAUCCUAAAUCGCUGCCGCACGCUCCUCUCCCUCUUCUCCAUUGCAAAACCACCUCCUCUCAUCUCCAUCAUCUCCAUUCAAAAACCACCGUCUCGCCUCUCCCUCUUCUCCAUUGCAAAACCACCUCCUCUCCUCUCCAUCAUCUCCAUUCCAAAACCACCGUGUCGCCUCUCCCUCUUCUCCAUUGCAAAACCACCUCCUCCCCUCUCCAUCAUUUCCAUUCCAAAACCACCGUCUCGCCUCUCCCUCUUCUCUAUUGCAAGACCACCGUCUCUCCUCCCAUCUUCCAAAAGCUAGCACCAGACCACUCAGAAGGACAUUUAUGGAGAGGAUGCAACAGAGAAUUAGGCAGAUCACCGGUGGCGACCAGGCAAAGUUAGCUAGGUUGAAGGAGAUCCUUACUUGGUUUGACAAUGAGUGGGAGAUUUCGAGGAAGGUGAGGGCCAUGUGGCAAUGUAUGCGAAAGAGCGAGACGGCAGCGAUGAGAGCGGCUAUGUACAUGUACUCCUCGGCGGCAGUCACGCCGCAGUCCUUCGAGUUCAUCGAGUAUCUCCUCUAGGCGAUGGAGCAGACAGAUUCGCCCGAGGCGAAAGUCAGGCGGAGGUGGUGGGCGUACAGGUCGAAGGUCGAGCACCCAGAGGAUAACGAAUCGAUCGAGUACGGUGUGCCGUUCGUGAGGGUGCAGAGCCAGCCGGAGCCACAGGAGUAUUCGUUCUCCCACUGCAAGAGGAGGCCGGAUGGCGCGACGUCGCUUCCCCGCCGUUCUCCACGGUUCCCUUGACGCUCGCCUCGUUUCAACGGCGAUGGUAGGGUUUAAGUUAAGCUUUGCACUAACCUAAUCUUCCACCCGCUCAUGCUUACAAUCAGUGUGACAACUAAUGAAAAUCAUGUUUACAAUCAGUCUCCGAGUACUACGCCAAUCACCCUUAAAUAGCUCUGGACCUUUGGGUCAAAGUUGUGACACUGUGUACAAAUAAAGAAAAAUAGAUUGGUGCUUCUUUCAGAAAAGAGUACUCCCGAGAAAACUGCCAAUAUAAGCUACUAGUAUUGGUUAGAGGAUUUGCUGCCGAGAAAGUUCCGUCAACAGAGAGCGCCACACAUCCCACUGGUGGUGGUGGAUGCCAAUGCGUGCAUGUAGCAUGGUUGGUGUCAAUAAUUUUUACUUGGCACACCUCGCACUAUGCAUAUAUGCCGGUUCCAUCCGUACAUGUGUGCAGUUCCACCAAAAUGCAGCUGAAUAACCCUGUUUGCACAGAUAAUGAAAAAACUUGAUUACAUUAUAGUGGCACUAGUUGAUGAAACACGCAAAAUAAAUAGAAGAAAAUAUUGCGAUAGUAUCAUAGUAUGCCAUGCUGCAAGGGAGAGAUGGGCCCUGCGACGCCUCAUACGGUACGCCACGCCUCAUACUAGAAAUCGUCCCAAGUCUCCCCGAUACACCUUCUGCCAGUGAUGAUCAUCAGUGUACAUCGGUAGUACAAGGAGGGGCCUUGAGACAUUCAAAUCUCUAUUUUUGUGCAGAUCAACUAAAAUUAAGCACCCCAGUUUGCAGAAACGCUUAAACAUUAACAAUGGGACUAGUUGAUGAAACAUACAUUAACAAAGAGAAGCACUUUCUUUAUCUACAUUGGAAAUGAAAUGAUAGAGAGGACACUCGCUCUAUUUUAACUAUAUUGUUACUUUCAUUUUAUCAAUGACACUAGGGUCGAGCAGGUGGCAAACGAGGUGUACCUUGCGUCGCAAGGAUGAAGGCCGGGGGUGCUUAGACUGGGAUGCUGAAGCUGGCUCUUUCAGUCCCUAUCUUCCCCUUGAUGUUUUUGUGGUAGCAUUUGGGUUGUAAUCCAAACUUGGUCGAGCUGGUGCUGCGUCCCCUACCUACCUAGCUUAUGUGGCGAACUUGUCUCCUGCUAGUACUCGGUCCGUUCUAGUAGUAGUUGCAUAACUGCCCGUUUACACUGAGAUGUUGUCGGAUAAUGGUUCUCUAUGGUUGGGUUUCUUUAAUGAAAUCGGAGGGAACCCCCUCUUUCGAUAUAUAAAAAAACAGUGACACUAGCGGUGCCAAAACCUUGCCUCAAAUUAAUAUUGCCACUAGAUUAAGGUGCAAAAUAAUAACAUUACUGCUUUAUCAUGGCAGUGCCAAAAUAGUAGCACAAGAGCAGGAUCAACAUGCAGGAUAUUUGGCAAAUGGUCAGACCAAAAAGGAACAUACCUCGUGAUGGGAACCAUAUCUGCAGUCAACGCCAUCGUAGAAGGGAUGACACCAGUCACCAACAUGGAUGAUUCAAUUCAUGGGACCUUUUGGUGCAGUUCACCUAAAAUGAAGCAAUGUCCCAUGAGCUAGCAGCUUCUUCUUCUUUUUUUUUAAGAAAAGGGCUCCAGCCCCGACUCCAUUUCCAUCAGAAAACGAAACCCACAGAGCUUCUUCUUCAUUAGAUGCAAUAAAAUUGAGCAACAUCAAGGUUGGUCGUGAAGCUCCUGGAAUGUUCAACUAUAAUUUGGAUAUCAUUUGUGCAGUUCAACUAAGAUCAAGCGUGAAAUGUAUAUCUCUGUUUGCACAAAAAAGGUGGAAAGGAGGGUGACUAACAAGUGAUGAAACAUGCAUCAAAUGAAAAAAAACAUGGUCCUUAUCUGAAUGGGAAUCGUACAAGGACAGUAGCAAUUUCUAGUAGCAUUGCUAGAUAUUAGUGUGGGCAUCAGGAUUGACUAUGACAACCGUUAAAUACGACAUUAGUUUAAUGGUGCCAUUGCUUCAUUUUACCAGCAACAUUACAUUAACAGCUGCUACAGAGUCGGUAUUUGGGCACGGGAGAGUAGGCGGACCAGGACAAUUGCAUCUCUAAUGAAAAGAAGCAACUUAUCUUAAUGGGAAAUUUCGCAGGACAUGAAAAAAAGUGCCAUUGAUUCAUAUUACUAGAGGCAUUACAUUGGAAACAACAUUGGUUUAACGUGUCCUUACUUUUAAUAGUGUGACUACUACAUUUUACCAGUGGCAUUACAUAAGAGCGGGUCAGGGCAACAAACAUCAGACGAGGAUAUCUGGGUUGGUCCCAUUUUUUUCAGUAUAUAGCCACCUUAUACUGUGUGAGGCUAGCAAAUCUAGUGCUGGACUUACUCUGUUGACUUGUCCCCCAGUCCCCACUUUCUUUUCUUUUUCAACCAAUAGAUCGGGUUUAUAUUGAGUUUGUACUGCGUUCCCUUUAUUUCCAUAUUAGACCUAGAGACCAGUUGGAUAGCCAGUCUCUGCUACUUUUCGCCCCCAUUAUUUCCUCUUUCGACCAAGUCCUAGAUUCAGGUAACAAAUCUUCCCCACCCCCACCCCCUUUCUUCCUUGUUUGAACCAAGUACCACUAGAUUCGAGUGCAUGAACUAGUUUUACCUCUUAACAGUAAAAAAUUAGGUGGUUUUCGAACAGCCGAUCGAUCCUAUCUAGGAGGGCCCCUAAGAAAUAGUAAAAGAUACAAAUGCAGCGACAUCAGGAUCUCGGGAAGUAGAGCAAGGACAGUUUCGAAGGAAGUUAUACCUGAGGUUCACCGGGAUGUCGCUAGGUGGGCGGCCGGAGGCCGGAUCUGCCCACACUACGACAACGAGGAAGAAGGGGUGGGAGGCCCUCCCUCACCAGUGAUGCUUGGGAGAGAACGACAAGGCACGCUGAUUGAUAACCCACAAGUAUAGGGGACCGCAACAGUUUUCGAGGGUAGAGUAUGCAACCCAAAUUUAUUGACUCGGCACAAGGGGAGCCAAAGAAUAUUCUCAAGUAUUAGCAGCUGAGUUGUCAAUUCAACCACACCUAGAAACUUAAUAUCUGCAGCAAAGUGUUUAGUAGGAAGGUAAUAUGAUAGUAGUGGUAACGGUAGCAAAAGUAAUAUUUUUGGGUUUUGUAGUGAUUGUAACAAUAGCAACGGAAAAGUAAAUAAGCGAAGAACAAUAUAGAAAAAGCUCGUAGGCAUUGGAUCGGUGAUGGAGAAUUAUGCCGGAUGCGAUCGAUCAUGUAACAGUCAUAACCUAGGGUGACACAGAACUAGCUCCAGUUCAUCAAUGUAAUGUAGGCAUGUAUUCCGAAUAUAGUCAUACGUGCUUAUGGAAAAGAACUUGCAUGAUAUCUUUUGUCCUACCCUCCAGUGGCAGCGGGGUCCUAUUGGAAACUAAGGGAUAUUUAGGCCUCCUUUUAAUAGAGUACCAGACCAAAGCAUUAACAUAUAGUGAAUACAUGAACUCCUCAAACUACGAUCAUCACCGGUAAGUAUCCCAAUUAUUGUCACUUCGGGGUUAACGGAUCAUAACACAUAAAUAGGUGACUAUAGACUUGCAAGAUAGGAUCAAGAACUCUCAUAUAUUGAUGAAAACAUAAUAGGUUCAGAUCUGGAAUCAUGGCCCUCGGGCCCUAGUGACAAGCAUUAAGCGUAGCAAAGUCAUAGCAACAUCAAUCUCAGAACAUAGUGGAUACUAGGGAUCAAACCCUAACAAAACUAACUCGAUUACAUGAUAAAUCUCAUCCAACCCAUCACCGUCCAGCAAGCCUACGAUGGAAUUACUCACGCACGGCGGUGAGCAUCAUGAAAUUGGUGAUGGAUGAAGGUUGAUGAUGACGAUGGCGAUAGAUUCCUCUCUCUGGAGCCCCGAACGGACUCCAGAUCAGCUCUCUCGAGAGAGUUUAGGGCUUGGCGUCGGCUCCGUAUCAUAAAACGCGAUGAAUCCUUCUCUUUGAUUUUUUUCUCCCUGAAAGUGAAUUUAUGGAGUCAAGGUUGAGGUUGGUGGAGCAUUAGGGGGCCCAUGUGGCAGGGGGCGCGCCCAGGGGUUAGGGUGCGCCCGCACCCUCGUGGACAGGUUGUGGGCCCCCUGACGCGGAUCUUUCUUCCAGUAUUUUUUAUAUAUUCCAAAAUAAUUAUCCAGUGAUUUUCAGGUCAUUCCGAGAACUUUUUUUUCUGCACAAAAAUAACACCAUGGCAAUUCUACUGAAAACAACGUCAGUCCGGGUUAGUUCCAUUUAAAUCAUGCAAGUUAGUGUCCAAAACAAGGGCAAAAGUGUUUGGAAAAGUAGAUACGACGGAGACGUAUCAACUCCCCCAAGCUUAAACCUUUUCUUGUCCUCAAGCAAUUCAAUUGAUAAACUGAAAGUGAUAAAGAAAAACUUUUACAAACUCUGUUUGCUCUUGUUGUUGUAAAUAUGUAAAGCGAACAUUCAAGUUUUCAGCAAAGAUUAUGAACUGACCAUAUUCACAAUAACACUUAGGUCUCAUGUUUACUCAUAUCAAUGGCAUAAUCAACUAGCGAGCAAUAAUAAUAAAUCUCGGAUGACAACACUUUCUCAAAUCAAUCAUGAUAUGAUAUAACAUGAUGGUUUCUCGCUAGCCCUUUCUGAGACCGCAAAACAUAAAUGCAGAGCACCUUUAAAGAUCAAGGACUGACUAGACAUUGUAAUUCAUGGUAAAGGAGAUCCAGUCAAGUCAUACUCAAUGUAAACUAACAGUAAUGGAUGCAAAUGACAGAGGUGUUCUCCAACUGGUGCUUUUUAAUAAGAGGAUGAUGACUCAACAUAAAAGUAAAUAGAUAGGCCCUUCGCAGAGGGAAGUAGGGAUUUGUAGAGGUGCUUGAUGAAGCUAUGUACCUAGGGUAGGGUCAUGGACCUGUCCUAACUGCCCUACUCAAGGACAUCUCUAGAAGAAAUCACCUUUCAAUCGACUUGGAGGUGUCCCACUCGACAGACUCGAAGACACUCGACCAAGAAUCAAACACUCGACCAAGAUCCAACCACUUGACGGCCAGGAGACCUAAAGUCACUCUGCGCGCUAACGGUCAGUCAUUAAGUAGCUUUUAUGGUCAUCAUAGCACUUUAUUAGGGGCGUUACCAGUAACGCCCGACCUUAAUGUAUUUGAAACUCUGCAUAACUGAGGGCCGGAGGGGUCUGGCGAACUCUAUAUAAGCCACCCCCUCCUCAGUGUAAAGGGUUCGCACCCCUGUAAUUCAUACACACAUAAUCCAGUCGACCGCCUCCGGGCUCCGAGACGUAGGGCUAUUACUUCAUCCAAGAAGGGCCUGAACUCGUAAACCUCGUGUGCUUACAACUACUCCAUAGCUAAGAUCUUCCCUCUCCAUACCUACCCCCCUACAUUACUGUCAGACUUAGAACCAUGACAGUUGGCGCCCACCUUGGGGCGGGUGUUUUAGUGAUUUGUUGGAGGAGUUGUGAUCUUUUCCGAUCCAAAUCAUCAUGGUUUCCGACGGAGUUUUGGUGGAGGGCCGCGAGAUCCGUCUCGGCGCGCUCACGUUCAUCGCCGAUGACUCCGCUUGGCUUCAGGAGGCUCCGCUCGACGUGUACGCACUCCGUGUCCGUGGGGCAACGCACUUUCGCGCGUGCGUCCGCGACGUCCUCUUGCGGCAACCGUCGACCCAUUAUCGGUCGGUCCCUAUGUUGUCCUCCCUCCCUGUUUCCCACCGACGCAAGCGCUCCGGUCGGUCGAGACUUCAGCGGUGGGUGAGACACGCGGUGGCACACCAGUCGGCCACCCCUCAAGUCGCGGCAAUCGAGCCCGACGAAUCCCUCUACGGCCUGUUCGACUGGCUCCGUAGAGACCGCAUCCGAGUGCGACAGCAGCGAUCCGGCGGCGGAGGUUCUGAUGGUCGAUGGACCGCCCAGUCCUCCCGGUUUUCCCCGCACCGGCGGAGGUGCAGGUGGAGGCGACCCGUCGCGUCCCCAUGAGGAAUAUCUCCCCGAGCCUCUCAUGUCGCUUUAGAGAGAAGAACUUCGUCGCCGGAACAUGGAUGCACUGCACACUCCUAUCGUUGGAGAAACCCCCGAGGCUCGUGCCUUGGAGGACGCGCGCCUGGCAAACUUGGCUGAGCGCACUCGACUGGAGAACCUCCAGCGAGCACUCGACGAGCGUGCGUGACAACGGGUUCCAGAAUCCAGUCGACGUCAGCUCUUUCUGCCCUUGCAGGUAUAUCGAACUCCGAUUCAGAAUUUAGCAGUUGCAGCCCGUAUAGCAAAGUCGAUUCAGCCUUCCCAGUCAGAGGCUGGCAGAGGCUUGCUGCAGAUCAGAGCAUUACUCCAGGCAGCAGGAGACCAGAAUUCCGCUGUUUCUCAGUCGCGGAACAGGAUUCAUAGCAGAUCCAUUGCUGCAGACACAGUCCAGUCGGCUCAUAGCCCAAGAUCGCCCCCGAGGCGUGAGGGACAUGGGGACCGGCGUGAUCAGUAUGGGAACCGUGAGAAGUAUGAUCACCGAUUCGAUCGUGACGAUCAACGUCGAGUGCCCACCCCUCCCCCGAGGAAUGGAUCGUAUGUGCCUCGACAGCAGGAUGACAGGUCCCCUUGUAGUGUUGGGCGAAGGAUUCCAGUUGAUCCCAGGGAACCAGGCUUUGAUGCGAGAUCCAUUCUCGUUCAAGGUUUGGUCGACAGGAACAGAGCUCACCGAGAAGGUCACGACAGAGAUGCACCUACCAACAGCAGAGUACAUGUUUCGGGGCCAGAGUGCUUUAGUAGAGCCAUUAGGGCCGCUGUGAUUCCUCCCAACUUCAGGUUGGUGACUGGAGUCAGUAAGUUCACUGAUGUGUCCAAGCCCGAUACUUGGCUUGAAGACUACCGAGUGGCUGUCCAGAUUGACGGUGGCGAUGAUGAAGUGGCCAUGAAGCACCUACCUCUCAUGUUGGAGGGCUCGGCCAGAGCGUGGCUGAAUCAGUUCGCACCCAGCAGCAUUUACACUUGGGAAGAUCUCGCCCGAGUGUUUGUCACCACAUUUGAAGGAACAUGCAAGCGACCGGCAGGGCUGACGGAACUUCGGUCUUGCGUGCAGAAGCCGAAUGAAACUUUGAGGGAUUACAUCCAGAGAUGGAUCACGUUACAUCACACGGUAGAGAAUGUGCCUGUCCACCAAGCAGUCUAUGCCUUCAAAGAAGGUGUCAAGUACAGAGAACUGAAUCUGAAAUUCGGUCGAACCGGAGACAUGUCUCUGAAUAGGAUGAUGGAGAUUGCCACCAAGUACGCUAAUGGUGAAGAUGAGGAUCGACUCCAGAGUGGCAAGCACAAGUCAAUCGCCCAAGAAACCGGAAGAGGAAAUUCCAAUCGGAAAUAGAAGAGAAAAGCCGAGCCAGCUGCUCCUGGGGAAGCCUUGGCUGUAACUCAAGGAAAGUUUAAGGGGAUGCCCAAAGGGCCUUGGAACCCCAAGAAAGUUGAAGACCAAGACGGAAAUGAUGUGUUGGAUUUGCCAUGUCACAUCCACACCAAGAAAGAUGAAGAUGGUAAGUUCAUUUACCCGAAACAUACACUCGACAGUGUCGGCUCUUGAUCCAGCAGUUCCAGGGCAAACAACCCAAAGAUAAGGAAAAGGAGUCGGACAAAGUUGAGGACAAGGAAGACAGUGAUGAUGGAUACCCCUAGGUCAAUUCCACCCUGAUGAUUUUUGCUAAUGUUGAAAGCAAAAGUCGACUGAAAGUUAUCAACCAUGAGGUGAAUAUGGUUGCUCCAGCGACACCCAGCUAUCUGAAGUGGUCUCAGACUGCCAUCACAUUCGACUAGUCCGAUCACCCAACGCACAUUGCCACCCCUGGGAGGCAAGCUUUGGUGGUCGAACUAGUUGUUGAAGGCACUCGACUGACUAAAGUCUUGAUGGAUGGUGGCAGUGGUUUGAACAUAUUGUAUGCUGAGACGUUGAAAGGGAUGGGCAUUCUGAUGUCCAGACUAAGUACCAGCAACAUGAGUUUCCAUGGAGUCAUUCCUGGGAAGAAGGCUGAGUCACUCGGCCAGAUUGCUCUUGAUGUGGUUUUCGGUGAUUCCAAGAAUUACCGCAAAGAAAAGUUGACGUUCGAAGUUGUGGAUUUCCAGAGUGCUUACCACGCUAUUUUGGGCAGGCCAGCUUAUGCACGCUUCAUGGCUCGACCAUGUUAUGUGUAUCUCAAAUUGAAGAUGCCUGGUCCCAAAGGUGUGAUCACUGUUACGGGCAAUCGGAAGAAAGCAUAAGAGUGUUUUCAGAAAGGCUCAAAGAUCGCUGAUGCUCAGAUGGCAGUGGUGGAGUUGUAGGAGUACCAGAAGACUGCAGACCCGAGUGAUUUGUUGCGAGCCAAGAAGCCCACUACAGAAUCAGCUUUUCAGUUGUCUGGUGAAAUGAAGCCGGUUCACAUUCACCCGACCGAUCCCAGUGCUGCUCCGACUCAUAUAUCAACAACACUCGACUCCAAAUAGGAAGAAAUGCUCAUCCAGUUCCUCCAUGAGAACUGGGACAUCUUCGCAUGGAAGCCUUCUGACAUGCCGGGUGUUCCCAGGGGGCUGACUAAGCACCGCCUACGAGUCGGCUCAAAAGUGAAACCUGUCAAAGAACAUCCCCGACGGUCCGCCUUCCAGAAGAGAAAGGCUAUUGGUGAGGAGGUGGCUCGGCUCUUAGCAGCGGAGUUCAUCCGAGAGAUUUACCACUUCGAGUGGCUCGCCAACGUUGUCAUGGUCCCCAAGAAGGACAAGUCACUUCGCAUGUGCAUUGACUUUAAACAUAUCAAUCGGGCCUGCCUGAAAGAUCAUUUUCCUCUCCCCCGCAUCGACCAGAUAGUCGACUCGACUGCGGGAUGUGAGCGACUGUCUUUUUUAGACGCCUAUUCCGGGUACCAUCAGAUCCGUCUGUAUGGACCUGACGAGAUCAAAACAGCUUUCAUCACUCCAUUCGGGUGCUUCUGUUAUGUUACCAUGCCAUUCGGCCUCAAGAAUGCCGGAGCCACAUUCAUGAGGAUGAUUCAGAAGUGUUUGCUCACUCAAAUCAGUCGGAAUGUGGAAGCAUACAUGGAUGAUAUUGUGGUCAAGUCACGGAAGGGUUCCGACCUGCUGACUGACCUUGCUGAAACCUUUGCCAACCUCAGGAGGUAUGAUAUCAAGCUUAAUCCAUCAAAGUGCACAUUUGGAGUUCCUGGCGGAAAGUUACUCGGUUUCUCGUUUCCGAACGGGGAAUCGACGCCAAUCCAGAAAAGUCGGUACUAUACUCCGAAUGAAAAGUCCUGUGCGAGUGCACGACGUCCAGAAGCUUACUGGUUGCUUGGCCGCUUUAAGUCGAUUCAUCUCCCGUCUCGGUGAAAAGGCAUUGCCUCUUUACCGAUUGAUGAAGAAGUCAGACAAGUUCGAGUGGUCUCCUGAAGCUGAUGCAGCGUUUGCAGAGCUCAAAGCUCUGCUCUCCACCCAGCCGGUGCUUGCUGCCCCAAUCAGCAAAGAGCCUUUGCUGCUUUACAUUGCAGCCACGGGAAAAGUCGUCAGUACGGUACUUACAGUCGAGCGGGAAGAAGGAAAAGCCUUCAAAGUUCAGUGCCCAGUAUAUUAUAUUUCUGAAGUUUUGACCCCGUCGAAACAAAGAUAUCCUCAUUAUCAGAAGCUUGUAUAUGGGAUUUAUAUGACCACAAAGAAGGUUGCUCACUACUUCUUUGAUCAUUCCAUUAUAGUCGUCAGCAAUGCUCCAUUGUCAGAGAUCCUGCACAAUAGAGAUGCAACUGGUUGAGUGGCAAAAUGGGUGAUUGAACUCCUUCCUCUAGAUAUCAAGUUUGAGUCAAAGAAAGCUAUCAAGUCCCAAGCAAUAGCAGAUUUCGUCGCCGAGUGGAUUGAACAGCAACUGCCGACUCAGGUUCACUCGGAGCAUUGGACCAUGUUCUUCGACGGUUCCAAAAUGCUGAAUGGUUCCGGUGCCGGGGUAGUAUUGGUCUCCCCCCGAGGAGAUAAGCUCAGAUAUGUUCUUCAAAUCCACUUUGAUUCCUCCAAUAACGAGGCAGAAUAUGAAGCACUUUUAUAUGGGUUGCGCAUGGCCAUUUCACUCGGCGUCCGUCAUCUCAUUGUCUAUGGCGACUCAGAUUUGGUGGUUAAUCAGGUGAUGAAGGAGUGGGACGUCAGAAGUCCAGCCAUGACUGGUUAUUACAAUGCAGUGAGAAAGCUGGAGAAGAAAUUCGAGGGGUUAGAACUUCAUCACAUACCCCGACUGAAAAAUCAAGCAGCUGAUGAUUUGGCGAAAAUAGGUUCCAAAAGAGAAGCCAUUCCCAGCAAUGUGUUUUUGGAACACAUCCACACACCAUCAGUUCAGGAGGAUCCCUUCACUGAAGAAGCCCCACAGCCAAAAAGUGCCACGGAUCCGAUUGAAGUUGAAGUUCCAGCUGUGGUCGACCUAAUCAUAGAAGUUUUGGUCAUCACUCCCGACUGGACGGUACCGUACAUCGCGUACAUCCUAAGGAAAGAACUCCCAGAGGAUGAAGAAGAGGCUCGACAGAUCAUCCGUCGAUCCAAGGCCUUUACAGUCAUAAAGGGACAGUUGUAUAGAGAAAGUGCGACUGGAGUCAGUCAGAAGUGUAUAACACCAGAAGAAGUUCAGAUAAUCCUUGAUGAUAUCCACUCGGGGACCUGUGGUCAUCAUGCGUCCUCUCGGACCAUUGUGGCUAAAGCAUACCGAGCGGGAUUCUACUGGCCAAGAGCGAAUGAAAUGGUGAAAGAGAUAGUCGAUAGAUGUGAAGGAUGUCAGUUUUACUCCAAUAUGUCGCACAAGCCCGCGUCAGCCCUGAAAACCAUUCCACUCGUCUAGCCCUUCGCUGUUUGGGGACUGGACAUGGUUGGACCACUGAGAACGGGCAGGAGCGGCUUCACUCAUGUGCUAGUAGCAGUCGACAAGUUCACCAAAUGGAUUGAAGCUAAGCCUAUCAAGAAUCUUGAUGCUUGCACUGCUAUCAGUUUCAUCAGAGAGUUGAUAUUCAGAUAUGGAGUUCUGCACAACAUCAUCACUGACAAUGGGUCAAACUUCGAUUCCAACAAAUUCAGAGCCUUUUGCGCCUCUCAGGGCACACGAGUCGACUACGCUUCGGUCGCUCACCCCCAGUCGAAUGGACAAGCGGAAAGAGCAAAUGGCUUAAUUCUCAAAGGACUAAAACCCCGACUGAUGCGUGAUCUCAAGCACGCAGCAGGUGCGUGGGUCGAUGAGCUUCCAUCAGUUCUUAGGGGAUUGAGGACAACCCCGAACCGAUCGACCGGAAGAACCCCAUUCUUUCUGGUCUACGGAGCCGAAGCAGUUUUGCCGAGUGACCUGCUUCACAACGCACCCGAGUCGAGCUCUACUCUGAAGAUGAAGCAGAACAAGCCCGGCAGGACGCAGUCGACCUCCUGGAAGAAGAAAGAGAAAUGGCCAUGAUCCGAUCGACCAUCUAUCAGCAAGACUUGCGUCGAUUCCAUGCCAGAAAUGUGAAGAGUCGAGCCUUCCAAGAAGGAGACUUGGUCCUCCGAGUGGCCUAGUCGGAGCAGAUUCAUGGCAGUUUCAUCUUUCAUGGGAGAGUUGAUGGGGUCCAAACCUGGCUCAAUCCGCCCAGUCUCCUCCUCGAAGUUCUGGCAAAACUCUGCAUUCAGGAUCCAAGGAUAAGUCAUUUUUCGUAUGCUGAGUUGACAAAAAAAACA
rnacentral:lncRNA from 1 species